rnacentral:lncRNA from 1 species
CAACAUCGUGGCGCCGAGCAGCGGUAACAACAGCUUCAGAAGGGAACGAAGCUACAACUGAAUACCCCUGUCUCUGUCGUCUGUAGAUGUACAUAUAUAUGCAUAUGGCGUGCCCCUUGUAUCUGAACUUUUCUCUUUGAGGGGUUUAAUUGAGGGGUUUUAGCUGGACAGAGUAGACUGCCGCUCAUCAGAGCUGAGUGCCUGUUUGCUCGGAAAAGAAGUUUCUAUGACGACAAGAUUACAAUAACAUGAACUGUGUGCAGCAUGUAUAGUUGUUUUUUUUUUGUAACGCAAACUGGUCAUGUAUAAAAUCAACUCAGUUUUCAAUUCUCUUUGCUAUAUGUUCAUCUAUUGAAAGUGAUGGCAAUUCUAUUGCACCUUGUGUACGUUGUUGCCCUCUCGGGAGCACUUUGAUGAGUACUAAAGCAUUCAAGGAGACCCAUAGACCAUUCUCGAGGAAGAAGAGAGACUCUUCUUUCGUUGGGUAUCUUUGACCAUUGAAAACUCAAUAAUCAAGCCCGUGGCUGGCGCGGCCUUGCCGGUGAACCGGGGCUCCUGCUUAUUUGAGAUGGUCUCAAAGAGUUUCGAUCCUUCUGCAAGUGCAUCUUUUUGGUGGGGAGAAAAGGCGCAGCUUUAUGCACCCGGAACUUUUUCCACAUCCACUAUCCGCAUGCAUAUCCGUUUAACAUUAUUGCAAAGGCAGAAACAUUCCACAGCGAGGGAGUUGCAGCUAUGUACACGUACGCGAGUGAGCGAUUUCUUUUGGUGCAUGAGUGUGAUGCAUGGGAAUGGGAUUAGAUGAUAGGCUUCCUUUUCCACACCUCACUGCACUACAAGUCUACAAGCUGCGGUGAAGAAGUAUUGUCGAGACACGUCGUGCCUCGUGACUGCAACGGUGAAAAUUAUGCAGCAAAGUGACUUCUUUUUUUCUGCUUCUUUCUACCUACUUCUACCUUUUUUCCAAUUACACUGCACGCAUGGGACUCAUGACUGCAACGGUGAAAAUUAAAGCAGCAAAGUGAAUAUUGUAGCACCGUGCAUGACAACGAUGUUGAUAUUUCGAGAACAAGCAAGCAUGACCACAGUAUAAACGAAACAAGUACUAGUGCGUGCUUUCGCCAACAGUGCGAUAGAAAGCUGCAUGCAUAACGAUUUUUGGUCUCCCUUUGAGCUUGCUAGCUAGUACUAGCUAGCUAGGGUUUUCACAGGGACAGCAAGGGCUGAUGCAAAUCUUUGCGCGUCUUUUCCGGGUUUGGUGUCAUAUGCUUUAUGUGUGUUUUGGGACAAAUGUGACGGGUGACUCCUUUUCCAGUUUGCCACUUUGCUCGAUCGAAAAUGUUUGUAGCAUUUGAUACAGUUAGCAGUGUAGCCAAGAUAUCGUAGGAUAGAAGUAGGGAUGACAACGGUCAAAAAUAAAAUCAGUAAUGCUUCAUGAAGAAAGUCCAAUGCGGAAAAUAAAAAUCGGAAGCCGCAGUUCACGGAACCAAGUCAGACUCUCCUACAUCCUUAUCCUCUGGUACUCCUUUCUUCUUCCACCACACAAGCUCUCUCUCUCUCUCUCUCUCUCUCUCUCUCUCUCUCUCUCUCUCUCUCUCUCUCUCUCUCUCUCUCUCUCUCUCUCUCGCACGCAAGCGUGCAACCACAUGAGCUCACGCUUAAACCCGGACGUCCGCACAUGGCACGCAGCGGCAGCGAGCUCACGGGAUGCCUCCGCAACCAUGCCCUCCGCGCGAUGGGCCCAGGGGCGCCUACCCCACGGGUUAUCCACCACGAGCACCCGCGUCACGAUGUCCCAAGCGCCUCGGCGAGCAGCCUGCCGGCGCGGUUGCAGCAGUCGAGCGCCUCCCGACGGCCACCUCCUCCGCCCUCUCUCUCUCUCCCCAAUGACCGAUUGGGGCGACCUCCGUGCGAGCAAAAUCAUCGACAAAAUCAUCGAUGACGAGUGCAGAGGCGCACGAGUUUGAGCAUUGGUAGGUAUGCAUGUUGCAUGUGUUUCUUGGAAUUGUUUCAACCAUAAUUUUCUCAUUUUGCAUGCGCUUUUCCGAUAUUGCAACAUAUUUGAACAUGUUGUUUUCGAUGUUUCAAUAAUUGAUUGUCAAUGUGACACCUAGUAAUUUGAGAUGUUGCAACAUUUUUCAUCUUUGAUUUGGCCCUUUUUUGGUGAAGAGAUGAUCUUGCACCUAAUCAGGGUAGCCUCUUCAAUCCGUUUUAGCUUGCUGGCACGCUAUCCUCCACCGACGCGCUGUUCUCCUAUGGAUCCGCUGCUUGGAUAGGUUGAGACGGAUGCAACCUUAGCGGUAAUGUUGCGUGCAACAAUAGCAAAUGUUGCAGCGGUAGUUUUUUCUUUUUUUUUGUAGCGUCCGACACUAGCAUCCGGAUCGAACGUCCGGGCGCUAGCAGCUCCGAAAUAAAAUCAUGAUGUAGAAAACGAAAGCAGGACGAUCAACAAAAAUAGUAAAAAUGAUAUUAAAAUUAGUUGAUAUGAUAACUUUUAUAUUUUGCUAAAAGUAAAAAAUAAUUAAAAACGAAAUUAUAAUGUAGAAAACAAAAGCUGUCGGUUCAGCAGCACCUAUCCCGACUAUUUUCAUCCUAGAUAGGACGACACAAAUAAAGUACGAAAAAUAUCAUCGGGAACAACACGCUUUGUGUGUCUCUUGCAGCCCGGCCCAAACUUGCGCACCCAGGCCUGCGGGCUGGGGAUCAUCCACCCCUUUGAAAUCUUUCGGCGGCCUUCGACCAUCGUUCACCCUAGGCGAGUAGGCGGUAUGCUCGAGCAGCGAAGCGGCACCCAGCAGCCACGCCUCAUCGACGCCGUCCAGGUCGCCGAUCGCCGGAACGGCCGGCGCCCUCCCUUGCGCUCCCACGAUCGCAAGCAAGCCAGGCAAUAACGAGCCAACAGCGCUUGACAUUAGCCAUCUCGGUAUGUACCUUCCCUUUUCUUCCUCCCAAAUUCCGCUCUCUCCCAGUUAUCGGUACUGAUUCUUUCAGGGGAAGCGAGUUAAGAUUCAAUUGGAUGAUUCCUUUUUUUUCAAUUUUAUUGAUACAAUGGUAUAUUUUAGCAGCUUGGAAUCUAACUCUGUACUACUUGCUACAGUACACGUAAUGCGUUAAAGUGGUGCGCCCGGCAGCAACAGAUUUGGAGUUCCACACAAGUUUUGUUCCUUUUUUUUUUGGCUGAGUGAUUUCUUGUUGCAGCUCAAAGAUUUGUAGUUACUUAUUUUUAGGGGAAAGUCCUUGAAAGAGUGCGCUUAAGCUGGUUCAUAGUUCACGUCGAAUUGGGUAACAAAUAGUUACACGUGGAAAACACGACUUUAGUCCCUGUUGGAUAGGGUCAUAGAUCCCGAAAAUCCAACCGGGACUAAAUUUUUGAGAUAAAGGGGGAUCCUUUAGUCUCGAGUCAUUCACCCGGGACUAAAAAUCCCCUUUAGUCCCGGUUGGUACCAAAAAGGUUAAAAAGUUAAAAAAAAAAGUGGGCCGGCGGCCUCCGCCCGCCUCCGCACACCUCAGCUCCGCCUCCGCCCACCGCUGCUCCGCCUCCACCUGCCCGCCCGCACCCCGCUGCGCCUGCUGCUGCUCGGCCGCCCGCUUGCCCUACCCUCGCCCCGCUGCCGCUCCUCACUGCUAGUGAGGGGCGAGCAGAGGGAGAAGGGGAGGGGCAGCGCGAGGAUAAGGGAGGAAGGAGAGGGAGGCGCGGUGGAGGGAGAAAGGAGGGGAGGGAGGUGUGGUGGAGGGAGAGAGCUCACGCGGUGGAGGGAGAGAGGAGGCGCUACAAGAGAAUAAGGGAGGGAGCAAGGGUGAGGAGAAGAUAAGGUGGAGAGAGAGGGAGCCGUGUGGGAUGGGAGCCUUCUGUCCUGGUUGGUGUUUCCAACCGAGACUAAAGGCCCCCUUUAAUCCCGGUUGGAAUUACCAACUGGGACUAAACUAAAUCUUUAAUCCCGGUUGGUAAUUCCAACUAGGACUAAAGGGGGGCCUUUAGUCCCGGUUGGUGUUUCCAACCGGGACAAAAUGUCCUCUCGUCCCACUAGCCGUUACAAUCGGGACUAAAGGUGGGGGAUUUAGUCCCGGUUGGUGUUCACAACCGGGACUAAAGUUCCUCCUGUUGGCGCCCUUCGGUGUCUUAUUUUUUAUCUGGGACUAAAGGCACUUUAGUCCCGGGUCCAAAGUCAAUCGAGAUAAAAGUACCUGGAUCGAAGGUCAAUUCUCUACUAGUGAGUAUGAUCCACGUCGCGUGCUUGACCACGUGUAUAGACUGCAAGGCGUGCUGAAUAUCAAGUGUCAAGGCUGCCUGAGCACCACAUGCACUGGUUACAAGUGUCUCUAAACAAAGCAACACAUGUCUUUAUUUAAUAGUCUUCUCUGAAUUUGAAGCAGUACUUUCCCUUUUUCUAUGCUUACGGCUGUGAGAGCCUUUGAUGUUCCCACACGCAGUUAUUGAAUGUACAUAUCUGUUACAUUGUUUUUACAUUAGCAAGUGUAAAUUCUUGACGAAAAGUUGGUGAAAAUAAAGCUCAAGAAAUCGUAAGUCUCACUUCCUGGUACUGAUCUUCAAACCUAGCUAUCAGGCGUUCGAUUUUAAAUUUAUUUAUAUGCCUUUCAACAUGUGUAAAUUUAAAUCAUAUUACGCGCUACUCUUAUAUGUAGCAAUGCUCUGAAGUUUGAGUCAACCAGUACGUGUAAGAGUUCCUUAAUUGUUGUCUUCAUGUCAUGCACAGCUUUAAUUUGUUUUGUAUUAAGGUACAUGGAGAAAAUAUUUUAUUCAUAAUUUUAUCUAUAAUUUAAUUGUAGCUGUCAAAUACUUUUGUCAACUUUGGGUUCUUUUAAAAAAAUAAUGAAAGAAAUUUCAUUUUAAAUCAUGAAUAUAAAAAUAAAUCUCAUUUGAAUUGUUAUUGUAUUUCAAACCUAUAGACCAUAAAAACAGUACAUAUGCCUAGUUUUUACUUGAUGUUGAAGUUUAUGUAGGAAAAAUUGAAAACUUUUGGACAGUUUGAAUAGCAAUGAAGUUAGCAGUAGAAGAUUAUGAUUCUAAGGACACCAGGAACAAUGGUGGUUCUGGACGUUGGCUUUAUUUGGCAGGAACUUCCCCUAAUUUCCUAGAUUUUAUAAAUGAUUAAAUAGCUUAUAGAAAGAUUGAUUAUAUGCAUUAAUGUGUACUUUCCCUUUACCUUCUAUGUUUAAUAGAAGGAAAAACAUUGAAGAAAAUAACUUUUUAUGAUUCAACGACAUCUAGGAUCCACCAGAUCGACCUCUUAGAAGUAAAACGAAGUACCUUAAAAUUUUCUUUUUGUUUUUUUCAGCCAGCACCGAUGCAAACAAUCCAUAAUCCAGUGGCAGCAGAACCUGUUCUCCACGGUGCUGAAUCUGCUGAUAGUAAAGACGAAGAUGGAUCAACUUCAGUUAAGUGUGAUCCAUGGAAUCCUGAACUUCCUCCUCCUGCUGCUGCCAUAUAUGAAGCAGAUGACUUGAAUGUCCAACUGAAAAUGAUUUUUGAGGUACGAUUACAAGCCACGCAUGCGCUAUUUGACUCCUUCAUUUCCUAGAAUCCCUUUUAUUUGCAUCGGUUUCUAACUGACACUUUAUUCAUCAGUAUGAAGCUCAAAAUGACAAGAUACUCUCUGAGUCCAGAUCUAGAAGCAUAAUUACCCCAAAGCGCACUCCUAAGGUUCCUAGCUCAUUUCGUUUAGUAUACUUUCAGUUAUGCUGCAUUUUUUCUGUAAAUAUCUUGUGACAGUACAAUUCAUUAGCUUAAUAUGUAUUCAGCAUGAUUUUAUUUGCUCUGACCUAUCAGCUCGAUAACUGACUGACUGUUACCGUUUCCGAAACAUGAAUGUAUAAAUCUAGUCUGUGCGUCUUGACUUCUGUGUGAUAUCACCCUGCUUGUCAACCAUCUUGAAGAAGGAUAGUGUCCGGAGCUUCCUCAAUCUCUUCGCCGGAAAUUGGCGACGCUUGGUAUGGGGCCGGGUCAUCACCCCGCACACCUUCAACUUCAUUGUGAGACACGAUGCCUUGCACUGUGCCAAGGUUGCCGUGGAAGGCAAGGCGCCAAAGCUCGGCGUGGGAACCGGGCCAACCCUAAUUACAUGAACAGCUUUGAGUCUUUCCCCCUUCACCAAGCAGCUAUGAUGUUUUCUCUUGACAUGAUCAACUUGCUUAUAGACUACGGGGCAUCAGCCAAUGUACACAUUGAGGGGAAUAAAGUCAUUGAGGGUCUUCUUCCACUUCAUGUUGCCGUUGAGGAUGCUUGCAUGCAUAAGUAUCUUGAGGUAAUGCUCCUUGCAGCCCAAAAACAGUUGUGUAACCUGAAUGGGUUUGAUAUUAUCAAGUUGCGCAUUUUUGAUUCCACAGUUUCCCUAGAACUACAAGGAUCCGGAUUGGAGAGGGGUAAGAAUCGCAAGGCACAUAAGCUGUUGAAGGAGAAGAAGUACCUUUUCCAAUGUGUCUGUACUUGUUUUUAUAAUUCUGCGAGCUAGUGAAGCUCUUGAUGCAUACGUGCAAACACAUUCAGAGGUGCAUUGCUUUCCCUGAUCUCUUCCUUGUGCCAAAUAUUAUAGUAUACACUAAAAAUGGAAGUAAUUCAUGAAUCACGAGGCUCAGUUGUUGUAGGUGCCCCAUCACGAGGUACUAGAAUAUGUUUCAUCAGUUCUCAAGGAUUAUGGUUUCUCCCCUACUGGAAAAGGCAUUGAUGUUGGAUAUCUUUACUGGUUUGUCUAUCUAUCUGCAUUCUCUUUCAUUCAUUGCCAUUCCAUAUACACAUUUACACAAUGAUCUUAUACUUUUCCCCCAAUUGUUCUUGAAGCCACCCUUAUGAUUGCGGUGAGUCAGAGGAUACAAUACAAAGGAUGUGGUUUCUAUUUGUGCUUUCUCCAUUUUUUUUUUUGCCAAAUCUAACAAAUAAUAACACAUGUUCUAUGACGGAGAACAGGGAACCUGGAUACAACCCAAACAGCUAUGGAAUCAUCUAAUCUGAAGGUAUAGUAUCUCCAAUCCAAGGCCUGUGUCUUUUCUAUUUUUUGGGGAAUAUUAUAACCUGUUUAAUUUCAAUAUUUUUUAUUCCAUUUACUUGUGGGGGUAGAAAGGUUUGUUUAGUUCAUCUGGCUAACUUUAGACCAAAUACCAUGCCCUGCAUAUGCCAUGUUUUUGUUGGGAAGUGAAAUUAACUAUGGCCCCAAGUACCAUCCUUAUUUUCUCGUUUAUUUUGCAUAUGUUAAGAACUUUAGUCGUUACCAGUUAUCUACUGCGAAAUAUAAUUCUAGAAUUGUUUACUGCAGCCUUUUCAAAGUUCUUUGGUGGCUUGAUAUGGCAUGUUUAUCAUUUAGUUAUAGAAAAUUUCAUGUGCAGGAGUACUUUAUAGAACACAUAUGCACAAAUUCAAGUAGUUUCUUGAAUCUUAUCGUGAUUCAUAUACAUAUACUAUUGCAAUUGACUUUGUGGAAUUUUCUCUGUUAGCUGGGAAAUAUAUCAAUGAGGGAUUGAAAAUCAACGCUUAGUACUGUAAUAAUGUAAUUAAUAUAUAUAUCUCGAUCUAGUACCAGCUGUCGUUCUUGGAUUUCUGACACUGAGAUGUUUGGUUGAUCCAACAACUAACCAGGCUGUGGGAAAGCAAGCACCCCAAAGACAAGAUUACAGGAUGUUCAUUCCCUACUGGAGAUCAAUGUUGCAAUCUCGUUUGCCCGUUAGGAUGAUUCUGGCUCAUGCAUUGAAGUCACAGCACAAGCCAGGCACUCGACGGUUUCAUACCGCUGCUGGUAGUUCAGGAAACAUGUCAAAGGAUGGGAGAUCUCUGUUUCUGAACUGCAGCCUUCGAUUGAUGGGAAGGGCUCCACAGCUGCGAAUUCAUCAGUCGAGGAGGAUGUAUACCACUGCUGCGCUUUUUUUUUAAGAAGAACUCAUCCUGCUUUUAUAGAAAGCCAUAAAGGUUUGUUACAGAGCGUUUGCUGGGAAUACCAGCUUACAAGAGAGAACUUCAGAAAAGCCUAGCAACAUACUAAGCUGAAUAAUCUGCAGACAUAUGCUAAAAGAUUACACCAUCGGAGUCUAUCGUAGAAGGUAACAGCAGCUCAAAUGAAGUCCUCCAUCGGGUCUUGAUUGCGUUCCUCUGCUAGGAAUCCUUUCACCCAGGUCACCACUUGGUUGUUUAGCCAUUCCAGGCAGCCUUUGUCAGACUCCUGCAGCAAUAUUUUCCACCUCUGCAAGUAAGAUGAGAUAGCAAAAAUGACAUCACAGGGUGAAUUUGAGAAUUUGCGUUCAAUUCUCAGCUUGUUUCGUUGAUUCUAUAACACCCACAAGAUUAUUGCAAACGAAAAAAAACAUAUCAUAAUUAGCUCCUCCCAAAACUAGCCACCACCUUAGAAACUCCUGCAGGCCGCAUGGAGUGUUCUCCCAGCUGAGGGCUUCCUUGAAACACACUCAAACAAAUUUAGCUAAGAUGCAUUGAAAGAAAAUAUGAUCAGAAGUUUCUAGCAUCCCACAUAAUGGGCAUCUGGCAUCUCCUUUCCAUCCUUUUCUCUUCAACGCCACACUAGACGGUAAUCUGCUAUGGAACAGAGACCAUAGGAACACCCUUAGUUUCAUCGGCAGUUUGCUUUUCCACAGUCUGAUCGCACAUCUGUCCUGCACACCCCUAAAAGUUAGAAAUCUGUACAUAGACUUGGUUGUGUACUGUCCCUUGUUCUCAAGACUCCAGACCACCUUGUCCCUUUGGCCAUUCAGGUAAGCCCUUGUUUACUUCCCUCCAAACUCCCAACUUUGACACUAUGCAAAAAGAAGAUUCCCCAUCACAUCAAACUUGCGGUACAUGCAUGGAGUACUAAAUGUAGACGAAAUCAAAAACUAAUUGCACAGUUUUGUUGUACUUUGCGAGACGAAUCUUUUGAGCCUAAUUAGUCAAUAUUUGGAUAAUAAUUCACAUAUACAAACGAAACGCUACAGUGUCGCAUUUAUGGCAAAAUGCCAAUUUUGCAACUCCCAACUUGAGAAGUAAACAAGACCUAAAUAGGGUCAAGCUAGUGAAUCCCAUUCUCGAACUUCGUUGGGACCAAAUGGUCACCUGAAGUCCUCGCCAGCUAAAAAAAACACUUGCUGACCAGGACCUCUUGGUCCAUAUAGCCCGAGGAAUUCUAGUUUAAGGGGAACAUUAUCUACCUAAGUAUCUAUCUAAAACCUCACAGAUUUCCCAUUGUUAACUUGGAAGGUAGCUCCAAAGAAGAACUUAUCGUUGACUUUAUGUAGCCCUUUCCAGAACUGAGACCCCCUGCCCCCUUGCUAUGGAUAAAAGUAGUGUUUCUAAGGUAUUUCGCUUUUAGGAAGGAGCAACACAUGUCCCCCUCCUCUGAAUUGUAUAUUCUUCAUACCUAUUUGAGGAGCAACGCUUCAUUUAGGAUUCUAGUGUUCAUUAUGCCCAGCCCACCAUAGUCCUUAGGGAUGCACAAUUUUUCUCAUUUAACCAUGUGGUAUUUGAAUUUAUCCUCAGCCCCCCUCCAGAAAAAAUCUUGAUCUGAUUGUGUCCAUCUGUUGGUGCGUCCCCUCAUGGAGCAUGAACAUUCCCAUAAGAUAGAUAGGCAUGCUACUAAGGGAGGAGUUUGUGAGAUUGAGUCUCCCACCAGAUGUCAGGUUCUUCCCCUUCCAAGGUUGUAGCUUAUUUCUCAUUUUGCCCACCAUUCCCCCAAAGGCCUGCAGACCUACAUUCUUAUCACUCAUAGGAAUGCUUAGGUAAGACAUUGGAUCCCCCCCCCCCCACACACACUAUGCAAUUUAGUGUAUCUGCAAUUCUGGAUUGUUCCUCUUCCGAGACACCGAAGGUCAGAACCUCGCUCUUGUGGUAGUUGAUUUUAAAGUACAACAGGAAUUUCAUGUUGAUUAUAGUCUUGUCAUCGCAAUCCAUCAUAAUGGCCGUAUCAUCUGCGUACUGAAUAUGAGUGAGCCUCCUGGGAACUAGGUUGGGAACCACCACUCUAAUGUGACCUUUCUAUUUAGCUUUGUUCAGGAUGUGGUCUAAGGCAUCUACAGCUAGGUUAAAAAGCAAAGGUGACAGCGGGUCCCCCUGCCGCAACCUCCUGUGUGUCUUAAAGUAUGGCACAUUUUCGUCAUUGGUGUUAACACAUACUUUCCUGCCUGGAUUGUGCUUAUGAUCCAUUGGAUGACGAGAGGAUCAAAGCCUUUCCUCUUUAGAACCUGUUCUACAAAAACCCAACUUACGCUAUCAUAAGCCUUCUCGAAGUCGAUCAUCAUUAUCACCCCCUUUUGUUUCUUCUGUCUCAGCUCAUGCAUGGUCUCAAGUAAGAGGACCGUACUGUCUAAGAUGUAUCUCCCAUUGAUGAAUGCUGACUGGCACUUUCCUACCACCUUGUCUGCUAGUUUGGAUAAUCUUGACAUUAUCAGUCGUGUGAAGAUUUUGAAGCUGACAUUGAGGAGACAAAUGGGCUUGUACUGCUUGACAUUGUUAGCAUUCCCUCCUUUCAGCACCAACGUGAUAACCCCGUAAUUCAGUCUUGUCAUGUCUAAUUCCCCCCUUAGAAGUCAUUUAUCAUUUCCAUUAGUUCCCCUUUGGUUAGAUUCUAGAAAUUUUUGUAGAAUGACACCCCAAAACAUAUGGUCUAGGAGCUGAGUCUUCCUUCAUUUCAAAUACCACCUUGUUCACUUCUUCUUAAGAAAAAAGCUUGGUUAGGGCCUCAUUAUCCUGUUGAUCCAGCCUUCAUUCCGUCACCCAGGCUUCUUCACUCAAGGUUACCCUUCCUUCUUCUCUUCUCCCAAAGAGCCCCUUGUAGUAGUCAUAGAUGAUUUUUCUAAAUUUGUUGUUGGUCCAUGACGUUCUCCCCAUUAUGUUCUAGAGACAGGAUAGUUUUUUUUUCUCCUCCUCCCAUUUGCAGUAAGAUGGAAGAAGGUUGUGUUGUUAUCUCCUUCUAGGAUCCAUUUCUCUCCCCCUCUCUUCUGUCAUAAUAUCUUCCAGCUCCACCUCCAAUCGGACCCUUUCCUCCAGUUGUCCAACGGUUGCCACCCUAGAGUCAUUAUUGUCAAUCUGUUUGAUUCUUCCUAGAAGUUCCUCCUUCCUCCUUCCUCCUUCUGUAUGCACCCCUCGUAUUAGCCCCCCAUCCUUUGAGAAAUUGCCGAAGGGGAGAGAUCUGUCCAUGCCAGAUAUCAAGUGAGUAGGCUUCAUCUGGGCAUCUUUCCCUUCCUGCCAGCCACUUUUCUUCCACUAGUGAUUUGAAAUCGUUCUGUUUCACCCAUUGUUUGUCAUAGAAGAAUUGUUUGCAUUUACGCCCUAGGUCUUGCUUCUCCCCCUUAUUAAGCAAGAGCGGGCAGUGAUCUGAACACACUCAGGUUAGACUUGUUAGAGAUGAAAGCGGAAAGUUUUGUUCCCAAUCAGUUGUCAUCAGAACUCGAUCUAUGUUACUCAUCACUGGGUUGGUCUGUUGUUCGUCCAUGUGAAUCUCGCCUCCUUAUAUUCCAGAUAAGUAUCUUCAUUUGUAACUAAUUCUUUUGAGCUCUCUGCUCAGCUUAUCGCCCUCCUAGUAGUUUUAGUGACUUUCUUGUUUACAGAGAAACCUGAUGUACCACUGCUGCGCUUUCACUGCUGAAAAUGUAGAAGCGCGCAUAAGUAGAAAGGUAUGCCGGGUAUGUUCUUUCUUAUUCUCGAUCUUGUGACUCUUAGCAAAACGUCCUUGUAUUUAUCAUGUUUCGGUUUUGCAGGUACUUGCAACUUUCAGUGGUGAUCUGGCAUGCAUGGUUUAUCAGCGUUGGAUGGGCUUUUGAGCUUUUUGGUCGGGCUGUAGUGAGUUAAGUGACAGCACGCAAGGACGAUGCAAAUCCGUAUGCAUUUUUCAAUUGUAUACGCGUCUGAUAGGUGUUCUUUUGAUGGAUAUUUAGAAAUUAAAGGAGUGUACUGCUACACAUCCACUGAUUGCUACCGUGGCUGUCUGACCAAAGAACAUCACGCCCACCACAACUCACAACUGUGUCGUGCGUUGUUGCCGCGAGCGCACCUCUGAGUUGUCAGUUGUUGCUGCUGCUUUGUUGUGUUUUUGUUUUUCUCCUCCUAAUAAAAAUUUGACAACUUUCUUUCGGAAAAGAAACUGUGUCGUGCGUGCACUACCGAUCAUGCAUACUUGGUAAAAUUGGAAGGCCAGCAUCGUGAUAGCACACAGCUGAAAACAUCACGUGUUUGUGCCAGGAAGGGCUAAAAUCAAAAUCUUCAUUUAUUUCUAUAGUAGAAAAUCGUGUACACUAGUAAUGUUAAUCAAGCGUAUCUUUGGUUGGGGGUAGUUUUCCAUGUUCUCGUGCUGGUUUGUGGGUAAAUUGGCUUCCAAGGACAUCGCGUAACAAUAGAGAAGAGGUUUGUUAACAAUCCAUCUGAAGUCCCAGCAGCAGCAUGGCGUGGUGCUCUUCCUUCGGCAGAACCGCAGGAGCUCGAAGCUCCGGCAGCCUGGUGCUUGGGGUGCUCCCAUCACCGGAGCACUUGGAUCCGUUGGAUGCAAAGAUCAUGGUACAUGUGUAACAUGACCUGGACUGCCCUCAAUUUCGCUCAAUUUCCGAAAAGUGCAAGAGCGAAGAUGCAAAAGAGCAAUAGAUGCAAAGCUCCUCCAUGAUCUUGAUCUUACAUCCGACGGAUGCAAGUGCUCCGGUGAAUGGGAGCCUUUCGGUAUCGUUUUCGCCGCUGCCCUCUCUCCACCGCUUUGGCCUGCUAUUUAUAGACCGAGCGGCAGGGCAGGGCAGUUACGUUCAUCUACGGUGAUCUCGCGCUCUCUCAUUUGAAUUUUGUAUUCGUUCGGCGCUGGCGCCGCGUCAGAAACGCGGUGGAGUCCAUGGGCGACGCCGUGUGGACUAGUCCUCGACCUCUUUUCUUUAUUUUGUUCAAAAUCCAAUCACUAGUUCCUCAAUGUUUCAAGCGAUGCUAGCUGGUGCCGUAAGCCCGUAACUACCUACUGCUACGCAUGACACACCUUUAAUUUUGUUUUAUUAAUUCGGACGGUGCUCUGCGCAGGGAGUUUCCGCUGCCUGGCAUGUGGGUCACAUCUUGGCGAUUAAGCUAAUGUUUAGUAAUUAUCUGCCGGGCGCCGGGCGCCAUGAACGAUCCUGCUGUCUUGGUACAUACACCUCUAUCCGUACAUAUAUACUUUGAUGUAUAUUAUUAAAUUUCACAGCUAAUACCAAAUUAUAUCGGUUUUCUUCAUUAUGGAGCAAUUAUUUUCCCUUAUGAAUUGAUUUCUUCGAAUGGGAUUUAGCCAUCAACUAAUUUUACAUUUUGGGACAGGUCAAAUAAAAUUGGUGUCAGCAUGUAGAAUUGUAGAUUUGCCUUGUUAAAAAAAUCGAAUCCGAGAUUACGCUAUCACGACAUUCCAAACACACAGCAUGCGACGUUUUAAAUCUACUACACACAAAUCACCGUGACCAAAAAAGAAAGAAUAACGGAUGUUGAAACAUUCCAAAAUUGCCGUUGGAACAAGGAAAAAGUACAUGGUGAAACCGUGUAAGGUGUAACCCAACAUAGAAUACAGCUCGAUCCCAACAUGAAAUCCAUUCCAAAAUUAAUAUUGCAAAAUGGAAAUAGAUAUACAGCGCCAACGUACAGUCGAGGCCGCUUCCAUAAUAUGUAGCAACUGCAUCAUAUCGAGCAUGAACAUGCAAAGAGUACGUAGCAUGCAAGAGUACGAACGCGCGCGCCACAGGCAUCACGAGCCGACGUACGCGGUACGCCACCUGUCGUCCUCCCCGCGCGAACUCAAGCUCCAAUCGCAUCUGAACCAUCCGCUUGCUGCACUGCAUCCUGGUCGUUCAGAAGGAAAACCCAGCUGUGAGAAGCGUGCACGGUGACCUAGCUAGACGGCGACAUUCACGGCGUUGACGCUCUUGCUCCGUCCGCACCAUGUGGGACCGUGGGACACGAAGGUGGGGGCCGCGUUCACGUACGUAGAGCACAUCACGCGAUUCACGCUGGGGUCGUUGUUACGUUGCAGCGGCGACUCGCGUGCCGCCACCUCAGCUUCCCGCCGCGGUCAUUGGAGGAGGAAGGUACCGGUAGUCAGUAGAGUUUUAUUUAGGCGCUUUAGUAGUAAAAAGGACUUCUCCACCGAAUUUUUUUUAAACGGGCAACUUUAAAACGGUUCUACCAACGAAAUCGGGGAGAAAUCAUAAAACAGCUUACAAUAAGAGAAGGAGAAAAAAAAGUGGCUUCAUCGGUUUUUCCUCCCUCUCCAAGUAUUAAUUGACCAUAAAAUUACUCAUAUUACCAUUAAGAAACCGUUUUACUAAAUAUUUUUCAAAACAACUUCAACUUCACUAGAAAAAUCACUCCACUAAAGAAGUUGGAGUCACUUUGACAAGAGGUGGAACUCUAUCAAACGGGAUCUUAUUUAUUCUCUUUUCUUUCCUGUGAAGGACCGAAAGAAGGAGCGAUGCCGUAUCCGUUAGACGACGAGAAUUGGGCGGACCGCGGACUCGAUGCACGUCGCCGUUUUGACGUCCACCUGGGAACGACAAUGGCACGGAGGUCUCUGUUUACAGGCCAACCGACAUCCGAAGCAAGCCGAUCCGCAGCCUGCUCUCGCGCGCCUAUUUAAGAAGCCAAGACCGAACUCACCGGCAACUCGUCAACUCGAUCCGUCGCUCGUCGCUCAUCAUCGCGUUCUCAGAAAUAAUCCAAAUCCGUUAGCAACCAAGCUCACUAUUCGAUGGACAAGGCAGAAGCAAGACAGCUCCCCCUCCCCGGUUACUCCUAUGCCAUGGCCACCGUGGCUUGCCAGCAGGCGAAGAAGGCUCCGGCGGAGCGCAAGGGGCCUGCCGCCGCCGGGGCCAGCUGCAACAAGGUGCCUAUGGGAGCCCUCCAGCCGCCUCCUUGGAGACGGAGGGGGCAGAUCAAGAAGAAGAUCGUCAAGGACAUCGUCGCCUCGGUGGCUAGCUUUUGUUCGUCCGACGACCGUGGUCGCGGUUGAGGCUACUAGGCAGGCAUGGCCCGUGCUAUCAUCUAUCCCAAAUUAAAUUUGCUUUGUUUAUGUACAAGGUCCGCAGGUGGCUCGUGUGUGCUCAUGUAGUGUUGUUGUCGAUUGCAGGCAGUGUUGUUGUUUGAUUCUACUGUGUAUGUGUUUGUUUUUUGGAAAGCAGAUUCUAUAUAUGUACUUGCUGUGUAUAAAUCAUAACUGUUAGAGUACAUGGAUGCAUAUAUAUGUAUGUGUGCAUGGUUCUGUCACAUCCGAUUGUUCGUGUCACGAGCUCACGCACGUACGCAUCAACUAGAAGCAUGCGCUUGCGGAAGCCCGUGCGUGCACGAGGAAGGUAGUGGCAGCUGGUCUUCUCCAAUCAAGUAUGGGCCUCGCCCGCAGCCAUGGCGGGCGGCACCGGGGCCAGCAUGUAGUAGAUUCGUCAGCGCGGCUCGUUCCGGCGCGCGCACCGGCCUUCGCGGCCAUAUGAUAUGACUAUACAUACGCGGGGUUAGGUUAGUGCGCGGUAUAGCAGGCAGGGGCCGAGCUCGGGCGGCCAGGCCGCCGCGGACCUCCUCGACUGCCGUAUGCCAGCAGGGCCAUUCGCCUGGGUGACGAGCUACUGCGGCUACGGCUGGCUGCGCGAGAGCUGCAUGGCGGUGGCUUCGAGCCUUCGGCUGGAUGCCGCAUGAGCACACGCAAGCGCGGCAGCAAUUUGGCUCAACCCGGCGCGUGUACGUGCACGCCGACGUCCACCACCGAAUCGGCCACGUCCUCGUCAAUACCUAUAUUCUAAAGGUCCUCGAAUCGGCGCGGCUGAGAAACGCCCUUCUAUCCUGACAUAUAUCUCGUUCAUUUUUUGACUCAAAAUUAAAAAGAACUUUAGUCUCGGAUCAAAUUUCCACCAUCGAUGAUCACCUCCAACAGGCCCUUUAGCCUCAGUUAGUAAUAUCAAUCGGAAUUAAAGGGGAUUCUUUAGUUCCGGUUGUAACGACUAGUAAAGCUUUACUAGAAGCAUAGAGGGAAUCUGGUAGGACGUGCGAAACACAGCACUAUUCUUUGUUCACCCAAAUAAAUAUUUUCUAACAUAUAUUAUCAUCAUUUAGUGUCCUUCCGUGUAUACAAUGUACUACCUGCUGAGCAUAGAAAAAAGACUAAAUUCUGGUCAGUAAUUCACAACCAAACAAUCAGCAUUUUUAAAGAAAUUUAAACAUAGCCUAUCCUGAUAGGUGAGUCCCAUGAGACCACUGCGGUAUAUGCAACCUAACUAGUUCCGUCUAUUGAACGUCCCCACGGACCUCACCGUCGACCAGCUCCGGCCGGAUAACAAACUAACGCCCUACUCACCGCCACGUGUGCGCAGCAGGCUUGCGAGACGGCAGCACGCACACCGACAAGGGACCUCCUACGUGGAUGUACGAUGCCGUUAUUAGAGCAUGGCUAAUAAUUUAGCCGGAUGCUGUUACCAUGGUGGUAGCAGGUUCUGCACAAAAGGUCUGUAUGGAGCAGCAGUGAGCUGAUAAUAUAUUAAUAUAGCCCUUUCAUAUAAUGGGUAAGCUGCUAUGGCUAUUAAAAUGAUUGGAUCGAAGAUUUAGAUAAUUAGGGGAUGUUUGGUUCCUUUGCUUAUUUUUAACACGUAUCACAUCGAAUAUUUAGAUAUUAAUUAGGAGUAUUAAAUGUAGACUAUUUACAAAACUCAUUACACAGACGGAAGCUAAACGACGAGACAAAUCUAUUAAGCCUAAUUAAUCCAUCAUUAGCAAAUGUUUACUGUAGCAAUACAUUGUCAAAUCAUGGAUUAAUUAGGCUUAAUAGAUUCGUCUCGCCAUUUAGCCUCCACUUAUGUAAUGAUUUUGUAAAUAGUUUACAUUUAAUACUCCUAAUUAGUAUCUAAACAUUCCAUACGAUAGGUGCUAAAAAUAAGCCAGAGUAAGCAAACCAGACCUUAAAUGUCUAUUCAUUGGAGGGCUAAAGGCGUACGUUUUCUUCUCGGUUCCUGUGUUGCAGCUGGGCGCCCGCUCCAUCCUCCCUCUCCAAUUCUCUCUCCUCCACCUCACAUUCUGUUGACGUGGAGAGCAUUUCAUCGGCUAAGCAAACAUUACUACACUUCUCUUGCUCCUUCCGUCACGAAAAAAUGUAUUUUCUAGUUAUAUAUCUAGACAAGUGUUUGUCCAGAUACAUGACCACAAAUGCAGUCAUUUUGAGAUGCUAGGUACGUGCAUACGCGAGGCAGAGCCUGUCGGGUGUCAGUAAUUAGAGGCCGAAAGGGGCUACUGACUAUUUUGGAGGACUGAUAGGUCCCAUGCCUUGACAAAUAUUAUUUGCCAUAAUUUAAUCUUUCAAAAUAAGCCAAACGUGUGCAAACAUGUUGGCUAAAAUGUGGAAGUACGUUUUCAUUUUUGCAUACAUGGUCAUUGGUUGUUGCUAUAUAAUUAAUGUUAUCCAAUUUAAAAAAAAAUUGGUUGAACAUUCUCUCAACAUACAAAGGCGGUAGUGUCUUGAGAAAACACUUCUUUUUUAAAAAAUUGAAUAGCAUUAGUUAUAUGGCACCAACUGAUGACUAUGCAUGUAAAAUGGAAUAUACAUUGUAGACAACAUGAUUGUUAAGUUUGUGAACUUCGGAGCGUGUUUAUUAUUUCUUUUAGAAAUGUUAACAGAGGGCAGAUGAUCUGGAUUUUCCAACACUUAAGCAUCACUACCGGAAACAGUAAAUUCCCCGAGUGUAAAACUUUUGCCGAGUGCUUUCUUUCGGGCACUCGACAAACAUCCUUUUUGCCGAGUGUAUUCAACGGGGCACUCGGCAAACAUAUUACACUCGGCAAUAAGGUCGUUUGCCGAGUGCCAUAAAUACGACACUCGGCAAACUGCUCAGUGACACUCGGCAAAAGUCCGACACUCGGUAAAUCAACGGCACGUGCAUCGCACGUGGACCGUCCGUCACCGGACUGGGCCGGCCGUUAGUCCUUUGCCGAGUGUUGGACGCCGACACUCGGCAAAGAGGCCGUUCGCCGAGUGCCACCCGCCCACACUCGGCAAAUCAAGAAGGUCGCCGAGUGCCAAGACACUCGGCAAAUCAAGAGUGUUGUAAUCCAAGACUGUUUGCCGAGGGAAACUUUGCCGAGUAGAGUUUGCCGAGUGUUACACUCGGCAAACCCUUUGCCGAGUGUAUUUGGACCUUCGCCGAGUGCCUGGGGCACUCGGCAAAGUUACUGUUUCCGGUAGUGCAUGUUGAGAAAAAACACUUUGAAUAACAUGUUUGCAGAGUUUCGUGAAUUUUGAAUUACAAUUGUUGUUCGUUUGGAGGGUUGGAGAUUAGGGCAGACAAUUUGGUUUAAUUUCAGGACUAAUGAAAAGAAAAAAACAUCCGAAUCAGUUCCAUGAAAACAUCCAUGGCAUAGUUAACACUUGAAGUUUAGGACCAUAAUAAUUAGAGUUCAUGAACAAAUACACAGCAGGAAGAGAUUGGCAAAACGUAGAACUAUCUAGUCACUUCUUUGAGAUCGCGACCAGUUCAGACUCGCAAAGCUCUAGUAACUUGGGAUGUGCUCAAGUGCUAUCAUUAAUUGUUCCACAUAUCUCUAGUACUGGGAAACUACUCGACAAGGGCACCAUAAAUCUGUGAAAUCUCAUUCGACACGAUCAUAUAGCAAAGUGAUAGCACCGAUGCAUAGAAUACAUACUGAUUGAAUCAUACUUUCUACGAUAAAAGCGCCUACGAUAAUCAGGAUGACACAAAAUUAAAGGAAUCAUAAACCAAUGUAUUUGCAAGAUAUUCUUUAGUUUUCUAACACCGAGGCUCCGCAUGCAGGAAGAAUUUGCACAAGUUUGCUGGCCACACAAAAGGACUUUAUUGUCGUUUUAGAACAGUCCUUAAGAAAAUGAACUUAGUUUGAUGUAUAGCACGAUAGCAACUAUACUAAUUAACGGAUUCAUGGAUGUGACCCAAGGGUGAAACUGAAAGCUAGCCAUGAGGGCCAUUGAGGUCAUCACCAUUAUACGAUGGGUCAAUAAAAUGGGCGAACAGAUUUUAUUUUUUUCAAAAAGAUUCACCAAAUUUACUUGGGUUAAUUGACUAUUGAAUAAGAGCAAUGUAUACUUAGAAAGUUAAGAAUUUUGAAAUGGCAAGACACUAGAGUUGCCAUGCUUCAUGAUAAGUUGGGAAAAUUUUAGAAUUAGAUAUUUUGCACGGUAGGACUUUCUAGAAAAUAGAUAAGGAUGAGGACAACUCUAUAAUUGUAGAAGAGUGUAGAAGGUGGACACAUGACAACACCAUAUGAGCCAGUGGCAAUUCUUUUGAGUAAUAAUAUAUUUAGAAAUCCCCAUCAGUUCCUUGCUGGUACCCUUCGAAAAAUAAUUAUUAUAUUCUUUUGAGUACUAUAUUUAGAAAUCCCUAUCAAUUCCUUAUUGGUACCCUUUUUGAACACAAUUAAUACAUUCCAAAAUAACUUGGAUUCUAACAUCUUUGCCCUUAGCAUGAACCUCCUUUCCUUUUUGGAUCGACUUAACUUAAUUCCAGUAUCUAUUCUAAUAUUCUUUUAUUCUUCUAUUUUCGAUCCAACUAAGAAAAAUAAAAUACAUAGCAGUUCCUAACUAAAAAUGUGAUUUCUAAAGAUUUCCAAUAUACAGGGGAGCACCCUGCCUCGUCGCCAUCCAAGUAGAAGUCAUGCCAAGUAUGAGUUUGGAGAUGGCAUAGGAUAUGCACUAUAGAGAGUUCGAGUGACAUGUCAUUGAAUGACAUGAGUAGAGUAUGCUAGAGUAGCUAUAUAAAAAGUUAAAGAGUUUUGUGUUAUAAUAGGUUAUAGUGAAUAAAGUGAAGCAUAUAGGUGUCAUCUAUAGGUGUCAUCUAUAGGUGUCAUCUAGGCCUUUCGCACCUUUGUUAAGGGUGUAGUUUUGGUGAUAAAUGACAACCAUUUACUUAUGACUAACCCGUUUGUUUUGAAGCAAAUCACUAUUGGAUAUUAUGUCAUGAGUUAAAUGGAAAGUGGCCCCUCAAUUUGAAUUAUCAAGUGGGCAAGGAGCUAUUGCGACAACGACCCCUUGUUGAACUUGUGGAAUGCUUCGGCAUCCGGUGGCCCAGCAUAGCUCGUGACACUAAUCUUUUGCAUCAUCACUUUAAUUUUGUGCCUGUACCGCAUGCUUGGAUGUUCGCUUCUUGUUACCGGAGUCGCCGAGUCAACACAUCCCACCUUGGCCCUUCGUGCCAGCAGCCUGAUGGUCAGGGUCGUCGGCGACCUCUUCCUCGCUAUAGAUUGAGCCUGCAAAUAAUUAUAAAAGAAUGAAAUAAUUAGUAACCUAAAAAUCAAUCUACAUUCCUUGUUGCUCUCCAACACAAUCUGCAUGCCUUCCAAACCAUUGGGCUCUUAAUUUAUUAGUCAUAUAUAGCAUCCACUAAUUUAUUUGUGAUAUAACACACUCCGAUGCCUCACCCUGAACUAGAAACAGCAAAUUAAUUAAUUCCACUUACAUUGAUAUAUAUUCGUAGCUUGGGUGGAUAUCUACAAGAGUUUGGUAUCUUCGUGUCCUCACUCUUUACAUUUCCGCUCUUAUUUUGAGCAUUUAAUUCCUGUAAUUUACUUGUCUUAUUUGCUCUUGAUCAAGUUGUGCUUUGCUUUACUUUGUUUUGCUUGUAUCUUGGCUAGUGUGCUUAGUUUCUAGGUUUGAACCUUGUCAAUUGGGAAAACAUAAAGUGUCGAGUUCCAUAUAAUGUUGGUCUCUUGUGUUGGUGUCAAUUGAAGAUCUCCUUGGAGUAGUGUGGGUACAGAGUUCAGGAAAGAAAGUGAUAUCAAACUAGGUACUAAUGACUCAAGCUACCUAAACCCUUGAUGCAACCCUAUAUAUUUUUGACAGGGAACGAUUUAAUACAACACUAAACAGUAGUAUGACACUAUCGCUAUAAUUGGGUCAUGUUGACUAUGUAGCUAAGUUAGUAGGUGUCGGGACCCUGGGUAUGCAAAUACCCAAGUUCCAGUUGUGCUCACUGUACUCGUCCCAUGAUCAGUCCACAAGUACGCACAACAGCACCAGUAUCACAACUGCACACAAAAUUUGUUAGCAAAAUUAAGAUUUGAUCAGAGCUAAAAUAUAAUAUACACCAGAAGCAAAUAGAAAUACACUGUACUUGUCCCAUGAUCAGUCCGCAAGUAUGCACAACAGCACCAGUAUCACAACUGCACACAAAAUUUGUUAGCAAAAUUAAGAUUUGAUCAGAGCUAAAAUAUAAUCUACACCAGAAGCAAAUAGAAAUAUAGGACUUCCAUCCUACAGUAGUGUGCCUCACCAACCCACAGGCAACUGACUGGGAGUUAGUCCUAGGAAGAACCAACGUCGAAAAACCCAUAUCCUUUGGCAGCGAAAUGAACAGAGACGGCUCUUCUUCAAACUUUGGAUUUUUAAUUUAAGCAACAAGGGUGAGUACAAUUUGUUGGAGGUAUGCCCUAGAGGCAAUCAUAGAGAUGAUGAUAUGUAUCCAUGAUUUGUAUAUUGUGUUCAUUGAAUAUCCAUUAAAGGCUACUUGAAUUGAUUUGCAAUUAUGUGAAUUGUAUGUGAAACUCUUUACUUGUAUGGUUAUUCUAAAGUUGUCCCUAGUCGGAGUUCAUGUGAGGACACACAUGAAUAUUAGACUAGCACAUGUAUUAGUUGAUGACUAUGUUUCACAAGUCAUGGACAUGGAGAUGUUGAACUAAUAGUGUGGACACAUGUGGAGACAUGUGCUAGGACUGACCCAACACGAGAAGUAGUUCUCUCUUUAAACAACAUAUACGCUUUGUCCUUAGACCUGAGAUUGUCGCAUGUAUUCUAGAUGUGGAUCGACCUACUUAGGGGCUAUCAAACGCUACGCCGUAACAGGGUAGUUAUAAAGGUAGCUUUCGGGUUUGUCAAGAAGCAUGCUAUGAGACAUGGUCAAUCAAGAUGGGAUUUGCCCCUCUCUGAUUGAGAGUGAUAUCUCUGGGCCCCUCGAGUGAUCGGAUCCGAAAAUGCAUGGUCAUGCUACGUACGGUUAAGAGUUGACCUACAAAGGGAUUCCGAAUCACAGGAUCGAGAAAGAGCGGUCGGCUUGAAGCUAGACCAAAUAUCGUGAGGCAAAAGGAAUAGCAUGUAUAUUAUGUUGUGAUGGUUCGUCUGAUAUGAUCUUCGUGUGCGUAUAGGAGUUGGCACGUCUUGCUAGAGGCCGCUACCGACUAUUGGGCCGAGUAGGAUUACUCGGGCCAUGUCUAUACGUAACCGAACCCAUAGGGUCACACACUUAAGGGGCUGGAAGCCCAAUUCGGAUCUGAUCCGAGUUGGAUUAGGUUUAGAAGUACUAAUGGGCCUCGGACCCAGAGGCCCGUCAGGAACCUCUAUAAAUAGAGGGGUGGGGGCGCCCUAGGGUUUACACCUUUUUGGCGAAACACACCUGCCGCGCCUCCCACGCCCUCGCCUGUUGCAACUCGCGGAUCUAACAGUCCGGCUUGCGACGCUUCCUCCCUGCACGUGUGGAUACAUUGGAGGUGUUGCGCCUGCAGCACUUGGACGAGCCGCCGACGAGCCACGACGAGCCGACGACGAGCCGCGGCACGGGAGGCGAUCUUGCUGCACGUGGACGAGCUGCUGGACGUUGAUGUGAUCGACUACGUACGACUACGUGAUUGUCUUCACUGCAUCGACGCAUAUCUACAUCUUCCGCACCAGUAGUGCGUCGAGUGGUAAUCCCGUGAUCCUUAUACGGCAGUUCUUCCUGGUUUUACGCGGUAGAAAUUUUGAUUUGCGCUAGUGUAGCCUACCUCGUAUCCCAACACAAUUUUGUACUCGCAAGACUUCGAGUGUAUAGAAAAAAUCCUAUUAAAUAUGCAAGGUAAUCAAGGAGGGCUGACAAGUCAUUUUACGCAUAUUUUAUAAAUUAGUUUGAUAUGUUUAAAAUAGACUAACAUUACCAAUCAUGACCCACCAUUUCCCAUACCACGUUGGGUCCAUAGACCAACUAUAUCGGUCCAAAACAUUUGAAUGAUACCAUUCAAGCCCAUUCCUGGUUUUCAAAACAAAGCUCUAUAACCGGCGACCAGUCCAAGUUGCUCAUGACCAUGAGCACGGCUAUUCGAAUAGUUUUUAACACUUUGCAGAGUUUGUACACUUUACCCACACGACAUGCUCCACUUUGAUGCCUUCGCGAAUUGACACAUUUCUGAGAUGUGCCGGCAAGCGAGCAUGACAAAGCUGUUACAUCAGUCGGAUCCAACAUAAUGCUACACGACAAACUAUAGGAGCGCCUCCGUACAUCUACCCGGGUUAGCUACCUCAACAUUGACAAAUCAUCUCAUGCACUCGGGUGGUAACAUCACCUCGGGGCCAACUGACUUAGUAAGCUAAGGAGGUACACAUUAAGCACAUGUGGUUGUACUAUAACACUUCGACUAGAAGAUGCUAAUUUUCGAUCCUUAAUUUGACACUGUGAGAAUCCCUAAAAUGCGCUGGAAACGCAUAUAGGACCAAGUCAUAUCCACCAUUGAUUUUAUCAUCCAUCUUUCUUUAUCCUCGUAUCAUCAUGACCUCUAGACCACAUUAUCACCCGCGUCUACCAUAGAGUUUUUACUUUUAGUAAAUCAUCCCUCCCAAGUGAUGCUAUUUAAGCAACCACAUAUAUAUGCUAAGCCAAAGCAUAUGACACCGAACUGAACGAAUAACCCAUAACCUUAUGGCAACAAGGUAUAAAAGGUUUAAAAUAACAAGGCAGGUAUAUGGAUUAAAGUAGGACGUGUCUACCCGACAAAAAAUGACAUUUAGACUCAUAUAAUCAUCAUCGCAUGCAUAUAAAUCACAGGCUUAGGCAUUUAAAUAGGAGCAAAGAUGAUCAAGGGGGUUCUAGCCUUGUUGCUAAUCAUUCAUGUUCUCGAGUAUUAGCUCAAAGUCUCGCUCGGUGUCUGGCGCAGCUACGAGUGUCUUGUCGUGUACUCGAAUCAAAUGAACGAAAGCACAUGCAAAAGAGCCAAAUAAACAACAAUGAACAACCAAAUAAACACCAUAAGAUGAUAGAGCAUGAUUUUAGAAAAUUUUAGGAAAAAGAGUCACUCGAUUUGGAGUUAAAAUGAGGAAGUUAUGCGUGUUUGAAGUUUUAAAUCCAGAUUAAUAGAUGAAAACUACUAUAAACACAUUAAUUCACAAAUGGCAUGUAAUUCAUUCAGAAAAACAUGGAUAAAAUUUUUAAGAGUUUCUAUACAUAAAAACUAGUCUUAAAGAAGCGGUUUAAUCAUUCUAUUAUUUUUCUACUAAUUACUAUGCAAUUAGUCAGAUUUAGCCGGCAAACAAAAGAUAGUUUGAAAACAGUAUAAAAACUACUUAUUUCACCUAUUCAAGUUAUAGAUCUGAAGCAUACACAGAAUAUGGAAGCUAACAAAAUUGGUUUCAUAAUUUUUGGAGCAACUUACAAUUUAUUAGGCAUUAAACAAGUCUAGUACACGAUAAAUUAUAGAACCAAAACAACAACAAUGACAUGCUCAAAGUCAUUUUUAUAUGAAACUUCACCUCACCAGAACAGUAACAAAAUUUAGUUUGUAUUUUUAUCAUUUUUCUAUGAUUUUAUAUACAUUUCUAAAGAUCACAGCCGAAACAAAAGAUCAAGAACAAACUGUUGACACCAAAACCCUGUGUUGACACCGGAUUUUGACCAAUCCUAUAAAUUCGGAGUACAAGAUAAUUGGAGUCACGUACAGCAAUAAGAAGCUAGCAUGCGUGCACAUGGGCACAGAGUCCAAAUCGGCUUCAUUGGAUUGAUCGGCAAGAAGAGGCAAGGAUGAUAUAAAAGAAAGGCCAGCACGUAUGGAUAAAAAUGAUUAGAAUUUACAACAUGGAUUCUGGUGCACUUUGCAUGCCAUGCGUGGGAGGCUUCCAGAAUAAUUAUACAUGCGGCCGAUCUAUGCAUGUACGGGAGGUUGUUUCAUAGAAUAAAAUAUUUUAGAGAUAGAGUUGAGUUAGUUAGAGAUAGAGUUUUUUAUUAGAAAAGAUUGUGCACGUGACUUGCCUUGUGCGUGGUUAGAUGCCAAUUAUGUAACGUCCGCCCUAUAAAUAUAAAGGGACGUGGCCAUUGUAAAUCAUCAUCAGACGAUCAAUAUACAACACAUUUAUCUUUUAUUUACCUUUUCGGCUUCACGCCAUUGCAUUAGUAGUAGGAGUAAUGUAGCUUCUCGACGAGUUCCUUCUAGGAAGCUGGGCUGCAUCGACCUCGAUCUCCGGCGAGCUGCAAAGUUCCGUCACCAGGUGUUCUAGGCUUUAACCACCGGGCGCAUCGCUGUGGUUUCGUCUAGUUUCAUCUACCAGUUAUCGAAUAUCUUGGAUCUUCGACUUACGGCGCAUCGCUUCUGUCUUGAUCUACAGUAUUCACCAGUUAUCCAGCCUUGAUUAAGUUUGCAUCGGCUGAUAUUUAUCUGUUCUAUCGUCUUGCCGUUCAGUUUGCUUUAAUUAGCUUUAGAUCGGUUCAUUAUAGAUGACAGAUCGCUUAAUAGUCUGUUGCAUCUUAAUCUUGGUUACCCCUUCGAGUGCUGUUGGGAUUAAGUUUCGUUAUGAUUGGAUUCAUCGGCUGGUGGGGUUCAGAUUAACAUCCUGCUAAAUACUUCUAGACUGCAACUACCGGACGCAUCGCUGUGGUUUCAUCUAGAGAUAUUGGUGGAGAGUUUAGUUUAGAUCUCAUCGGUUUGUGGCUCUAGCUAUGGUGGAGCGGCAGCUCAAUAGCAUCCUGUUUUCUAUCGACCGCCUGGCCGAUGGUUAUUGUAAAUUAUAUUAAAUCGGCUGGAUGGCCGAUGAAUCACUCACAUUCAUCAAGGCACUGGAAUCGGCUUCACAGCUAAUAUAUUUGUCAUGAUUUAUUUUGUUGCACCAUUAUUGCUACUGUGCCAAGAUUAUAUCGGCCUGAUCGGCCGGUUGCCUCGGACUUCACAACGACUAUCAUCUCCUUGCCAGUUGAAUGGUCAAACUGACUGGCACGCCCGUGUACACCAUGCGCGCCAAUUUGGAUUCUGCACUGGAGUUAAGCAGAUCUCCCAGGUCCUCAUGUGCUGAUGCAGGGUCCACCACCGUCGGGAUUUUGCGUCAACACAAACUAACUUCGCAUCGAGGCCCUUAGAAACUUUCUUUCUUAACAGAUAUAUCCUUUCCUUCACAAAUCAAUCCUCAUUUCUUGCACUUAAGACCCUGGAUAAACUUUAACUAAUCACAUAAACCCUGAUCUUUUACCCAUAACCCCCGACAGCUUCUUUCUUUCUCGCGAAACCGCCCCUCCCCUCUCCUUCUUCCUCCAAACCGCCCGCGCCCCACAGCGAACGCCAGAGCGCGGUGGCCUCAACUUCCACCCCAAAAACUACCCCAGGACAGUCUCUAGGAUCUAUCUCACCUUCUUCCCUACUCUUCUCCCCGAAACCCUAGCUGCAUCCUACCCCAUGGCUAACGGCGUCACUCCGACGAUGGCGUACUCGGGAACAAGCGUGGCAACAGGGCUAAAAUAGCAAAAGGGAGCGAGCAUGAGGGCCAGGGGCUCACCUUGGCUCGGUUUGAGCGGUUGGUUGGCGAAGAGGAGGGCCGGAGGGUAGGGUUCGACGGUGAGAUGGAGCUCGGGCCAUGGCGGCCACGGGAUUUGAAAUCCUGGGCACCCUGGCUGCCACGGCGUGAAGGGGGUUGGGUCAUGGAGGGAGCUGGGGAGGUGAGGGAGUUCCGGUGGCGGCGAUUUGGAAGUGGCGGCCGGAGGUGUGAGGAUUUUGGUGGCGGGUUGGAGAGCUCACUUGGUUCCUUGGCUCAGGCAGAGGAAGAAGAUGGAUAGAAAGAGAGGGAGAUAGAGCAAGGAGGCAUGCUGCUUGCUGCUGUGCUGCUUUGGUGAAGUAGAAGAGCAGUGGGGAGAGAAUGGGCUACUGCUAGCUGUGCUACUUGCGCUGCCGACAAAGAGAGAAGUGUUAGAUUGAUCUCCUCUCAAUGGGCCCAACAGCCCAUUGAGCCCUUGACUCGUGCCCUAAUCGGGGGCGCCCACCCUAGCAUUGGGUGGUAGGCCCAUAUCACCUGCGCUAUAAAAAGAGGAGUGGGGGCCAGGGCACACAGUACGAGGUUCACCGCACCACCAUCCACCCCAUCGACAAAACCCUAGACCGACCGAUCACGGGGGCGCAGCGAUGACGGGAAGCACCACCACCGCUACGCCGGCGACACGACACGGGACUGCACGUCGCUGCCUAGCGCAGAGCUCCACCGACCGAACCACGGCACUGCGCGUCGCUACCUAGUGCAGAUCUUCACCGACAGAACCAGCGAUAGCCAGCGGCUCUGCCGCUUCCACCCCUAGGGGUGAAGGUACCCCAUCUAUCUCUCUCUCUCUCUCUCUCUCUCUCUCUCUCGGUUAACACUGAAACCCCAUGAACUCAAUGUUUACCCAUAAUCCUGACUAGUUCUACAUCUAGAGAUCCUAGGUUUAAUCCUAACAAUAGUAUCAGUCGCCUAUCUGGAAGUAGAUCUUAGAUCGGGAAGAAGAUGAAAAAUCGAAAAGAAAAGGGAAAAGUAAAACCCUAACCCUAACCCUAGAUCUAAAGAAAAGACGGACGCGGAGAGGGUUACCUGCCGCCGUCCUCACCACCGCACGUCCACCGACGGCGAGCAGAAAAGGCCGGCCGAGCCACGGGCUCACUGGAAAAGACCAGCCGAGCCGCGCACUCGCCGAGCAGCGCGACCGCCGCGCGUGGGCGCAAUAGCACCACCGCAGGAUCGCUCGACGGCGGCGGGCUCACCCUCGGGUGAAUGCGCGCGCCGGCGAGGGGACCCGCGGCAGAGCUGACCCUCCUCCACGGCCGCCAUGGCUAUCUCACUGGAUCUCGUUGAGGCUCGGAGGGAGAGGGGGAGGGGAAAGCAAGAAAGAAGAGAGGGGGGAGGUACCGCGGCCAUGCGCCAGCGGGGCCAUCCCUCAACCACUGGCGGCGGACCCCACCGGGCACAAAAGAGAUGACCCCGCCGUCGCCGCCACGGUGUGAGUUCACGGGGGAGGGACACGAAAAUGGCUAGGGUUCGGGAGGCGCCGGAGCAAACGGCGGUUUUGAUCCGCCGAUAACACCGUGCAGCCGUCCAAUCAGACGGACGGACGAGAUUGUCCGAGCUAGAUAAGGCCCAGGCGGGAGGAGGUGCCAGGCCGCUUCGGUGGCCCAAGCCCAAGUUGUGGCCUGCGAGCGAACGAGCCAAGCCUCUAUGCCGACAUGGGCCGGAGCGCAUAGCGGCUGCUAGGCCAAAGGCCAACAGGCCGAGCUCAAUAGCGGGCUGGGCGAGUCAACCAGAGCACGGGCAGUGCGCAGGACAGGCCGUUUGGGCUGGUUUUUUGCUGUUGGGCUGAAAAGAUGAAAAAUGCACAGUAAUGUUUCAUGAAUUUGAUUUUUCUAUGUUCAGAGGAAUUUUUUGAUGAAUUUUGUAUAGUUUUUUACCUCUAUCCAAAUUUGAACCAACGGGAUAAUUUGUCAUAGAGAUGAAUAAAUUUUUUUUAAGUAUUUUUGCCUCUGAAAAUAGAAUUAUUUGAAAGUUUCCGUUGCAAAAUGUCUAAAGUGUUGCUCUUUAAAUUUAAUUUGAACCAACGAAACAAUUAAAUUUUAGAGCAUGCUAAAGUUAAUUUUUUCUUAGAGAUUGAUUAUGAUCCUGUUAUUUUCUAACCAACGUUGUUAAUAACUGUAUCAUGAUUAAAAAGAUUACAUGCUUUUAUUUCUAUUUCUGCCCAACGGUGAUGUAGCUUUAAAUUGCAUAAACACUUGCAUAUUUUAUUUUUUGACCAAAACUAGAAAUAAAUCAUGCAAUUGUUGUAAUGAUCUCACCUUGAAUUGUAACUUUCAGGAGGAUUCAACUUAAUGGCUUGUCUCAAAGAGAUACCUACUCUGAGAGGAGACAACCACACACAAUGGAGGAAAAGGAUUGAUCUUGCCUUUGUUUGUGGAGAGGUUGACUGGGUGGUUAGCAUACCACAGCCAAAACCUCCAGAACCACCAGUGAGGGUUGAAAGUGAUACUGAUGCUGCAUGGCAGGAAAAGGUGAGGGAUUAUGCUCCUCUAGAGUUGGCAUAUACUCUCGAAAACAAACAGUGGACCACUGCCAACAAAACGUGUAUGGCCUUGGUAAAGAACACGAUUGAGCCUGCCAUUUUGGGCUCGAUCACAGAGUGUGUCUUCGUUGUAGAGUACCUUGACAAAAUAAAGAAUCAGUUUACUAGUUCUUCAAAGACAUUUGCUACCCAGUUGUUUAAUCAGCUGGCCACAGAAAGGUACUCUGGAGGAGGAACUGGCAUAAGAAAGCACAUCCUCAGGAUGUACAAUCUGGCAGCAGUUGAAGCCAAUGGAUCUUGAGCUCAAACCUGGGCACAUUAUUCAUCUGGUUUUUGCUUCCCUACCAAAAGAAUUUGAUACUUUUGUUGUUAACUACAACAUGCAACCAGAAUAGUGGGAUAUGGAAAAGAUGAUAGCCAUGUGCGUGCAGGAAGAGGACAGAAUCAGAUCUUCACAUGGUGGUUCUUUGCACUAUGUGAAGGAUAACAAGAAAAAGAAUACACAUGCUAGCUCCUCUUCCAAGUCACGUGGAAAGGCUCCCAUGCAGCAACAACAUCAAAAGCCCUUCACAAUUGACAAAGAUCAGUGCCUCCACUGCAAGAAACGGGGGCAUUACAAGAAAGAUUGCCUCAAUUGGUUGAAGUCCAUAAUGGCAAAGAAAGGUGAGAAUAUUAUCUCAUUUAUAAAUGAAUCCUUGUAUACGCAGUAUUCGAAAUCUACUUGGUGGAUUGACUCAGGUGCAACUGUUCAUGUUGCAAAUCCUUUACAGGGAUUUCCGUUCGACGAGGACUACGCAAAAAAGCGAAAGACGCAUUGAAGUUGCAAAUGGAGUCCAAGCAGAUGUUGAAGCUGUUGGCGAUGUCUCUCUAGAGCUAGUUGAUGGUUUCACACUUCUGCUUAAAGAUGUUCUUUAUGUUCCUUCAUUACACAGAAACUUGAUUAGUAUUUCAUGUUUGGGUAAAGAUGGUUAUGAAUGUAAUUUUGAACAUUGCAAGUGUGCCAUUUGGUUUGAUAAUGCAUGUGUUGGCGUCGCUACCCUUCACAAUGAGCUUUAUUUAUUAUCGCUGCGUGAAAAAGUAAAUUUUGUGCGUGAUGUGAAUCAGAAUGUAUCCUUGCCAAAGAAAGAGACAAACAAAAGAAAGAGAACUCAUGAUAUAUCAUCGAAAUUAUGGCACUAUCGCUUAGGCCAUAUUUCAAGGGGAAGAAUAGAAAGACUAGUUAAGAAUGAAAUUCUUCCUCAACUAGAGUUCUCAGACUUAGAACAAUGCGUAGAUUGCAUUAAAGGAAAGUAUGUAAAGCAAAUUAAAAAGGCACAAAACGUAGCACAAGAGUUUUAGAGAUAAUCCACACUGAUAUUUGUGGACCAUUUCCUGUGAAAAGCGUGGAUGGCUAUGACUCAUUCAUAACAUUCACAGACGAUUACUCUCGUUAUGGUUACAUUUAUCCAAUUAAAGAAAGAUCGGAAGCGUUGGAUAAAUUUAAGAUAUUUAAAGCUGAAGUUGAAAAUCAGCAUGACAAAAUAAUUAAAAUAGUAAAUCCGACCGUGGGGGGAGUAAUAUGGUCGGCAUACCCCAUUUGGCCAAGUUCCUGGACCUUUUGCAAGGUUCUUGCACGAAAAGGGUGUAGUAACCCAGUAUUCGAUGCCGGGCGAGCCUCAGCAAAAUGGAGUAGCUGAAAGGUGUAACCGUACACUGAUGGAUAUGGUGCGCAACAUGAUGAGUUAUUCCACUUUGCCAUUGGGAUUGUGGAUGGAGGCAUUAAAAACUGCCAUUUACAUUCUCAAUAGAGUACCAAGUCGGUGCCCAAAACACCGUAUGAACUCUGGACAGGAAGAGUACCCUCACUAAACCACCUGCGUGUGUGGGGGAGCCCAGCUGAGGCCAAAGUAUUUAACCCAAACAUUGGGAAGCUAGAUCCCAAAACAGUAAGCUGCCACUUCACUGGCUAUCCUGAAAAAUCAAAAGGUUUUCAUUUCUACUGCCCAGACAGAUAUACAAAAUUUAUAGAAAUGAGACACGCUAUUUUCUUAGAGGAUGAAUUGAUGAGGGGGAGCAUGGUAGCUCGAGAGAUUGAUCUUGAGGAGAAGCAGGUGUGUGCACCCACUCCGAUGAUUCAGGAGCCAUUUUUCUCACUACCUGUUGUUCCUGCACCGACAGUUCCUGAGAUUGCGGUGCAAGCACCUGCUGUGAUUCCACCCAUGGAAACGAUGAGUGAAAUUUUGGAACCUGUCCUUCAGGAGCCAAUUGAACCCAUUGUUGCACAUGAGGAAGAGUUGCAGCAGCCACCUCAAGGUGAUGUGCCACAAGCUGAGGUACAGAAUGUGCCCACAAAUGAGGGGCCUAGAAGGUCUCAAAGAGUUAGAAGAUCACCUAUUCCUAGCGAUUAUAAAGUUUAUAAUAUAGAAGAAGUUCAUAUGGAAGGUGAUCCCAUUUCAUAUGAAGAAGUCGUGAGAAGCGCUCACUCAUCAAAGUGGCUAGAGGUCAUGGAAGAUGAGAUGAAAUUGAUGAGUUCCAACGAAGUUUGGGAACUUGAAGAAAUUCCUAAAGGAGCCAAAACAGUAGGCUGUAAAUAGGUCUACAAGACUAAAUGUGACUCCAAAGGGAAUAUAGAAAGGUUUAAGGUGCGACUUGUGGCAAAAGGCUUUACACAAAACUUUCUCACCUGUCUCAUGUAAAGAUUCCUUCAGAAUCAUAAUGGUAUUAGCAGCACAUUUUGAUUUAGAAUUACAUCAGAUGGAUGUAAAGAUGGCAUUUCUAAAUGGGGAUUUAGAAGAAAAUGUCUACAUGAAACAACCCAAGGGUUUUAUUAUGGAAGGAUAAGAGAAUAUGGGAUGUCGUCUAAAGAAAUUCAUUUAUGGAUUAAAGCAAGCCUCUAGACAGUGGUAUCUAAAGUUUAAUGAUACGAUUAAGAAAUUUGGGUUUCAAGAGAACAUAGAGGACAAUUGCGUCUAUGCGAAGUUCAAAAAUGGGAAAUACAUUUUCCUAAUUCUGUAUGUGGAUGAUAUCUUGCUUGCGAGCAGUGAUAUCAGUCUACUACCAGAGACAAAGAAGUUUUUGUCCUCAAACUUCGAUAUGAAAGAUCUCGGUGAAGCAUCAUAUGUUUUGGGCAUAGAAAUUCACCGAGAUAGAAGGAAUGGGGUUUUAGGAUUAUCGCAAAAGGCAUAUUUAGAAAAGAUUCUAAAGAAGUAUAAUAUGCAUGCGAGUAAAGCCACACCUGCUCCUAUAGUCAAGGGCGACAGUUUUGGGAAUUUCCAAUGUCCCAGGAACCAAUACGAGCUCGAACAAAUGAAAGUGGUUCCAUAUGCUUCAGCUGUCGGAAGCCUACAGUAUGCUCAAGUAUGCACUCGCCCUGACUUAGCUUUUGUCACCGGGGUACUUGGAAGAUAUCAAAGUAAUCCAAGUAUAGAGCACUGGAAGAUGGUGAAGAAAGCAUUGUGUUACGCACAAGGCACAAAAGACCUCAUGCUUACGUAUAGAAGAUCUGAUUCCCUAGAGAUAAAAGUAUAUUCAGAUGCAGACUUUGCAGGAGACAGAGAUGAUAGAAAAUCCACAUCUGGUUACGUGUUAACUCUCACAGGAGAAGCUAUUUCGUGGAGAAGCUCCAAACAGAAAGUAACUGUGUCAUCUACGAUGCAUGCAGAGUUUAUAGCAUGUCAUGAGGCUACAAGGCAGGCGAUGUGGUUAAAGAAAUUUAUACCCGGAUUGAGAGUGGUUGAUUGUAUUCACAGACCACUAAAGAUGUACUGCGAUAAUGAGCCAGCAGUAUUCUAUGCUCACAACAAUAAAUCAAGCAAUGCUUUCAAAACCAUUGAAAUAAAGUUUUAUGUUGUGAAAGAUAAAAUCCAGGAUCGCACUAUAAGUCUCGAGCAUAUAAGAACAAAGAGCAUGCUUGCGGAUCCGCCUACGAAAGGCUUACCACCCAAUGUGUUCAGAGAACACUUAGCUAGCAUGGGUUUAAGGGAAAGCCUAUGAUUCCGGGAUUAUAAAGGGCCCAAAAGAAAUAGAAUUAUUUCAAAAUAGAGAGGUGUGUCGUAGCUGUUGAUUUCAUCGGCGAUUGAGCUGUGAUGAUGAGGCAUGCUCUACACAUUAAUCUAUGAUGGAACGAAUAAAACGAAAAGUAUAAGGUUAAAAGUAUAUGAUGAGAUCAAGGGGGAGCAUGUUAGAUUGAUCUCCUCUCUAAUGGGCCCAACAGCCCAUUGAGCCCUUGACUCGCGCCCUGAUCGGGGGCGCCCACCCUAGCAUUGGGUGGUGGGCCCCUGCCACCUGCACUAUAAAAAUAGAGGUGGGGGCCGGGGCGCACGGUACAAGGUUCACUGCGCCGCCAUCCACCACACCGACAAAACCCUAGACCGACCGAUCACGGGGGCGCAGCAGUGAUAGGAAGCACCACCACCGCUAUGCCAACAACACGACACGGGACUGCGCGUCGCUACCUAGCGCAGAGCUCCACCGACCGAACCACGGCACUGCGCGUCGCUGCCUAGUGUAGAUCUUCACCGACAGAACUAGCGAUGGCUAGCGGCUCUGCCGCUUCCACCCCUAGGGGUGAAGGUACCCCAUCUCUCUCUCUCUCGGUUAACACUGGAACCCCAUGAACUCAAUGUUUACCCGUAAUCCCGACUAGUUCUACAUCUAGAGAUCCUAGGUUUAAUGCUAAGAAGAGCUAAGAGAUGACGUAGGUGGCGUGCUUCGCGUGCGCGUGCUGUGCGUGCGUGAGUUGGGGCUCACAGGGCUUGGCGCACAGGGGCAGCGAGGAUGGGUGGAGCUGUUGCGCGGGGGUGACAAGGUGGGCGGAGCAGCGGCGGCCGAAGACGUUGGCGCGAUCGUACGCCGGUGGCGUGGGAAGGAAGCAGCGGGCGGUGCGGAAGAGAUGGGGAAGACGGCGUCGGUGCUGCUGACGCACAGGCCCGGGCGACCAGAUGAGGUGGGCGGAGGAGAAGGCCGUUGAACCGUCGCGGGCCGGCCCAAGGGGAAAAAGAAAGGUCAUCGGCCUGAGCGGGAAGGAGAAGGAAGAAAUGGGCCGGCUCUGAUUCGGCCUAGGUAGAGUUGAUUCGGCCUAGGUAGAGUUUAGGAAUUUGAAAAAGAUUUCUCUUUUGUUUAUUUCGUGGAAUUCAAACUAGAUUUUGAAUCCAAAGCAAACUUGUCCCACAAUUUCUGAGAAAUUCACCAAAAAUGAUUUAGUGUCUCGGAACUCUUGUAUAGAAGUUUGAAGAUUUAUUGACUAGUAUUUUAGCACAAUAUUUUCUUGCUUUAUUUAAGUCAUUUCAUUUUUUUUAAAUGCAUCUUUUGCAAGAUAAAACCAAGAACUCAAACCAAAAUUUUUAUUCAAUCAUUUUAGGUCAAUUUUUGAUAUAUUUUUUUGUAAUACCAUUUUCUUUCAUGACCUUUUAAAUAUGCUCAAGCCUCAGGGUUAUUAAUGCAUAAAACAUGAGAAGAACCAAAUAAAAGCCAAGGCAAGUUUUAUUUAUUUAUUUAUCUUGAUUUUAUUUCUGUUUGAAUUUUGGGCUGUUACAGUAGGUAUCAUCACCCGAUAUCCUGAUCCUAUGGUUUAAUCUAACAAAGGGUCAAUCACAGAAAUUAAUGAUACACAAAAUAGUACAAAUUUUGUAAAGCAAAACUCCGAUCCAUACCAAUCUGCAAGUUUAUUUUAGGAUAAACAUUUAAGGAUGGUCAAGUAUUAUUUGUCGCAUUUUGUAAGUAAUUAGAUAACACAGGAUAUGAAUCAUCACCAAGGAGAAAAAAAUGAUAUGCAGGUAGAAUAGAUCCAAUAGUCAAAGAGUGGCCGCUGCUAUAGAAUGAAACAAACAAAUAGCUAGAAAAUACACCUUAAAUAGCACCUGCUCUAUCCGAUGCCCCAGAAUCGAUAUGAAUUGCGCGUGAGGCACGUUUCCGUUCGCACAAUGUGCUUGACGUGAUCCCAGCAACUAACGUACCCCUAAACCCUAGCUUGUUCGGUUAAUCCAAUAUCCAUGGUGAUUGAAAGGGAUCGUAUAGCAGAUUAAAUCCCAGACCCAUGGGGUGUGGAAUUAACCCCUCCCAACCCCUUCCAAUUUCCAUGGAGAAGGGAUUAACCAAACACAAUAGCAAACCCAAAUUGCAACCGAAUGCUACGGCAAACCCUAAUCGCAGCAAAUCGCCAAUGCAAUUCGUCCCUAAACGAAUCAUCAGACAAAUUGCGCCAACAGAUUGCAACAGAAUCUCGAACACGGAAACCCCAAGUUGCAAACCCAAUUCAUCACCACACGAAAAAAAUUAGAGAGAACAUUGAACAUAGAAACCUGGUAAACUCACCAUGCCACUAGAAAGCUUGGCCCCUCCAGUAGCAUUGCCAGCAGUGCCUGGAUCCCUGCCGCCAGUGGAGCCCCUCACCCUCCCGACCGACUUCUCGAUGAACUUUGCAUUAGGGCCUUUCAUCCCCUUGAUGAUGGUCGGGUUGAGCACGGCCGCGUGGGGGUUAGGGAUGGAAUUGGGGAGGUUGGAAGGUUAGGAGGAGGAGGAGGAGGCUGGAGGAGAAACGCGUCGCGAAACUGCAACGACAAUGCAAGGGGGAUGGGGUUGGGGUCAAGGCCUCAAGGGGAUGGGAACUUGGGGCAAGUGGAAGGGGAUAGAGAGUCCGAGAGGGAAAUUUUUAUCUGACUGCAACUGUUUGAGCAUUGAAAUAAUGUAGAUCAUAUAUGCCUAGACACCACGGGUGCAUUGAAAUAAUGUGGACCCUGUAUGUCUAGACACCACGGGUUAGUAACUUCUGUACGCCAUAGAAUUUGCGUACUCGAGGGUUGACAGCGCCUGGAUCUGGUCUACAAUAAUUCAUUUUAUAGCACAUUACUCAAAGCUUACACCCUCUCUCACAUUAAUAAAGCAUAGAGUCAGGUUCGUCGGUGAUAAUUCCAGCAUCGGCACGUCCGCACGAAGCAAAAGCAUCUUGCCGCACUGUUUGCCUAUCACCUUGCGUUCUUGCCUGCCCUUCGGUUCUGGUUGUAUAGGUAAAGCAGCGUCACUUGUUGCCUGGGAGUGUUCUAUAGAAUAAUAUUUGAACCAAAAUCGUUGUAGAACAAUUCAUUUGCUGCAUUAGCACUAGCUUGCGAUCCAAGAGGUUAGUUAAACCGCUACUGGCCGGUACUCCUACGUGGAAAGUAAUAACACCACGGAUCGACCGUGUCAGUCGAUCGGGUCUCCCUGGAGCUAGCGCCGCAGUCGCCGUCCGUGCGCCGCACGGGUGCCUCCGUCCUGUCCGCUCGCAACAUGAACCGAAUACUUGGCGCGCGCGGCUGCCGCCGCUUGCGUGCCCACACGCAUCCCUUCGCGCGCACCAGUGCGCCACUUUAAUUUGGAGAUGACGUGCGGCAGUGGCUCGCACGGCUAGCGCUGACAUCAUCCUGGUGAGGUCACGCGAACGACGCAAGCACGCACGUACGCUGCGCCAGAUGCUCGAGACGGUUCCUGGUCGAUCCAGAAGCUAAUCCUAUCCAACGCACCCAGACCUGCACGUAUCUUACUUAGAUAAUCCUUAGCCAAGAAGGAAUGCAGGUGUGUGUACGCCACCGUUCUCGGGCUGCCGGCAGCUUGUACUCCUUUGUCCUAAAUUUCUAUUUAUUUUAACUUUUCUAAAUAUAUAUUAUGUCAUACUGUGUAUCUAAGAAAAAGUUAAAAUAAAUAGUAAUUUGGGAUGAAGGGAGUAUUAGAUAGAGAGCGAGAGCUAUCGCUGAGCGGAACAGGCAUGUCUCAUGCUUAUCCCCAACUCGAUUCGAUCGAUCGAUACCUGCGCGAGUACAUUACAAGAAUGGAAGAUGGUGUGCAAAUGCACUUUCCACGUUCCCAUUGCUUUUACGCCCUCUUGCUACUCCUAAGUCCUAACUUGACAAUUUGUCAAGAGCACGUACAAAGAGAGUCCUCAAGCCAUGAUCAACAUAAACAUCCUACAUGUACAUGUGUGUAUGUGUGUGUAUAUAUAUAUAAAUGAGGAAAGAGAGCCUUGCUGUCGUCUCGUGAGACGAUGGCCCCAGCCCGUGCUCCGAAAUCAUACCGCCGACUGUUCUCCCAUUGUACACGUCGUCGACAACUAGUUCCUGAUCGAGUACGGCGCACGCGUGAUGCUCCGUCCCAGACUUCCAGUUCUCUCUUCUAUCUUCCCAAACUUCUUCGAUCCCUCAAAACUUCCGUUCAUGGCAGCCAUGGUCACCCACCUCCACUUCCUUACCUCCCGGACCAAGCAAAAUGGAUUACGCUCCUUCUGUUCUCUCUCCCUGUGCAGACAGGUUGUUUAAACUGUUGAACAUGUUUGCAGGAGCAGGACUAGCAGCAGCAUCAGCCAUCAAUGCCGUCGUCUCUACUAGUACGAGCAAUGCUGCACUACCACUCAGUGGCGGAGGGAGGGGGGGCAGGGGGGGCCUGGCACCCCCUGACCCUGUCGGGCACCACCCAUCAGGAGUGGACCUGGCACCCCCUGUGGCCUGGCCGGUUGGUCAAAUAUCAACUUCAGUCUAUCACGGUGGCAUGAGGAGUUGGAGUUGGAGUUGGAAGCGGCAUGGGCCUGGCUCCUGGCCGCCUGGGCACUGGCCCAAUUAAAAAAUACACCUGCCUUUAUUCCUGCCGCUAGACGCAGACGCCAAUACCGAGUCGUCCAGUCGCUCCUCCGUUUGUUCUGUUCGUUCUCCUGCCGCCGCCGCCAGUCAAAAAAAAGACGAGGAAUCAAUCCAAGGAUUCAAGGAUGAGGCCAGCCAUGCGCUGAUGCGUAGCAGGCAGCAGCGUCUCCUGGAUUUGUGGUUCGUUUGCGCAGCUUGUUUUCUCUUAUCUUUAUUUUUCUAGGUUAUAAAUCUUAGGGAUUUUUUAUUUAUGUGUUUCAUGAUGCACGUACAGUCGUACAGAUGAUUAAUAUGAAGAAGAGAAAGACUAUCAAUAGUUUUUUUAAGCCGAUUGGCUCAAGUGCUCCUGAUCUAGAAGGGGAAACUCAUAAUGAUCAUGUACAAAAUUCUAAUAAUCAGAGUAAUGUUGCUGCUACCGCUGAACCAAUCGAAGCCGAGGUUGCCGAGCAUCCACCAGUUAUUGCUACUAGAUUUGAGAGAGACCCUGGUAAACGUGUUCAGAUAUUGGAAUUGUCAGCGGAUCAACAAGAUGAAGCUCGAAGAUUUUAUAUUUCAGAGGGUCCAUAUCAACCUGUGUUGGCAGAGUACCCACUUAGUGAAUUAGCUCAUCGUCGUCGAUUUCAGAGUAACUGGUUCAAGCAAUUUACUUGGCUAGAAUAUUCACCUCAUACAAACCGUGCUUACUGUCUGCCAUGUUUUUUAUUUUCCAAGAAGCCAAUUGGGAAAGUUGGAUCAGAUACAUUCAUAGUAAAGGGGUUUCAGAAUUGGAAGAAAGUUAAUUGCGGAAAUGAAUGUUCUUUUCUAAAACAUAUGGGAGAUGCCAGCUCAGCCCACAAUUAUUCUGUUCGGUGUUUUAAUAAUCUUAAGAACACAAUGGCUCAAAUUGACAAUGUGAUUGUUAAACAAAAAGAGAUAAUGGUUGCAAAAGGAAGACGAAGGCUUGCGACUACGAUUGAUUGCAUUAGGUAAUAAGAUCAAAUUCUCAUGUCUUUGUGCAGUAUUUAAAGUUAACUUGCUUUCUUUAUGUACUUAUAGGUGGUUGACAUUCCAAGGUUGUCCCUUUAGAGGCCAUGAUGAAUCUCCAGAGUCAAUAAAUAGAGGUAACUUUAUUGAAAUGGUCAAGCUUUUGGCUUCCUAUAACACGGAGGUUAAUGAGGUUGUUUUGGAAAAUGCUCCCAAAAAUGCAAAAUACACUUCACCUGAUGUCCAAAAGGAAAUUCUAAGCAUACUUGCUCGAAAAGUGCAGAAAUCAAUUAGAGAAGAAAUUGGCAAUAGCAAAUUUUGCAUAAUGGUUGAUGAAGCUCGAGAUGAGUCCAAAAAAGAGCAAAUGGCGAUAGUCCUCCGAUUUGUCAACAAGGAAGGCCUUAUAAAGGAGCGUUUCCUUGAUCUGAUCCAUGUUAGUGAUACUACAGCUUUGACACUUAAAGAGUCAAUUUGUGCUGUCCUCUCAGCUAAUGGCCUAAGCAUACAAGAUAUAAGAGGUCAAGGUUACGAUGGGGCCAGUAACAUGAGAGGGGAGUGGAACGGAUUGAAAGCUCUAAUUCUCAAUGAGUGCCCAUAUGCAUAUUAUAUUCAUUGCAUGGCUCAUCAGCUUCAGUUGGCCCUCGUAGCAGCAUCAAGGGAGGUACAUGAGGUACACAAUUUUUUUCAGCAUGCAAAUUUCAUCAUAAAUGUUGUUAGUACUUCUCCUAAGCGCAACGAUGAGUUGCUAGCAAAACAAGCAGAGGAAAUUGCCCAUGAAAUUGAAUUGGGAGAGCUUGACACAGGACGAGGGGCAAAUCAGAUUUCCUCCCUACAAAGGCCAGGGGACACUAGAUGGAGUUCCCACUAUAGGUCUAUUCUAAGCUUAAAGAAGAUGUUUGGUGCCACAGUUUCAGUCCUACGCAACAUUGCUAAUGAUCGUUCAGUUUCAAAGUAUUCUCGGGGAGAUGCCAGUGGUGCCUUACGAAUCAUUGUCACAUUUGAUUUUGUGUUUAUUCUACUCCUAAUGGAAAAGAUUAUGAAGAUCACUGAUGUAUUGUGCCAGACACUCCAAAAGAAGAGCAUUGAUAUCUUAAAUGCGGUGGAUUCUGUUUCUACCACAAAAGUGUUGCUUGGUGAGUUGCGAGAUAAUGGUUGGGAACCUCUUCUUGAGGAGGUCAAAUUAUUUUGUGGAAAGCACGAAAUUGAUAUUCCGGAUCUGAGUAAGAAGUAUGUUUUUCCCCCCAAAUUAUUUAUUCUUUUGUUAAAUUGCACUUGUUCAUCAAUCAAUCCAUAUCUUCCCAUUUGUAGGUAUGUUGAUGUGACUAAAUCUCGAAACAAGAACGACAACACCACAGCCUUUCACCAUUACAAAGUAGAUGUGUUUAAUGUUGCAAUUGAUCAACAGCUAGCAGAGUUAGAAGAUCGAUUCAGUUCUCAAGCGACAGAGCUUUUGUCCCUUUGUGCUUCUUUGGAUCCUAGGCUGGACACAUUCAACAUAGACAAUAUAUGCACUCUGGUAGAAAAAUAUUAUCCUGCUGAUUUCUCAAGUCAAGAAAGAGCUCAAUUAGAGUGUCAGCUGCCACAUUUUCAAAUUGAUGUAUGCAACAGUCCAGAACUAAAGGAAUUAUCAACACUUGCUGAUCUAACAAGUGGACUAUUUAAAACAGGAAAAUAUUCAUCUUAUCCUAUGGUGGACAGGUUAUUAAGAUUAGUAUUAACUCUUCCAGUAUCAACUGCAACCACCGAAAGAUGCUUUUCAGCUAUGAAACUUGCGAAGACACGUCUCAGAUGUACAAUGGGAGAUGGAUUUCUGCGAGAUUGUUUGGUAAUUUAUAUUGAGAAGGAAUUGGCUGCAUCAAUCAGUACUGAUGAUAUUAUUACAGCAUAUGAUCUUGCUGCUAGUCGAAGAGCUAAAUUUAAAUUGAUAGAUAUGUAAUUUUAUUUUGGUUAAGACUUAUAAAACAUGCUAUUAUUAUAUCAUUAUAUGUGACUAAAAUCAGCUCACGUGGCUAUCGGUUCUACAUUGCUUUGUCCAUUGCCCCCCCUUACUUCAAAUCCUGGCUCCGCCCCUGCUACCACUGGCUUGCUAUUCAAGACAGGCGGUCACUGCCGAGCUGGCACUGAGCCACUAGCAGAUCACGGUAGACCACGUCGAAAGUACCACCGGGCCCACCGACCGACCACGUUGACUAUCGGGGUAUGCAGCUGGGCCACCCUGGGGCCACAAGAUGUUGUACGCUUGUACGUAUGUCCCUACUUGCCAUUCACACGUGUUUCGCUCAGAAAAACCGCAGCCUCUCUUCUCUCUCCCUAGCUAGGUGGUGGGGCCCUUACGUGCCCUUUGGGCCCCAUAGGUGGGUGCACCACCGGCCCCACCUCUCUGCACUUUUUCUUUGCUCUGCUCUGCUCGCGAAGCCCACUAGCCCAGCUGAGCCGACACCGAGCCUAUUUAAGACCGGCGGCCACCUCGCCGGACAUCCGAAUCCGCAAACUCCCAACUGUCCCAAGCAUCAUCAUCCCCCUGAUCCUAUCCUCUCGCCCCGCCAAGCCAACCGGUGCCCGCCACGGGAGCCGCAUCGCCGAUGGCAACCGAGAUCAUCCAGGCGCCGGCUCCGGCCAUGCCCGCCGUGGCGGGGCGCACCGCCGCCGCCGCAGGCGGUGCCGGCGGCAACGGCAGGGCGGGACUGCCGCCGCCGAGGAGGGGCCAGAUUAUGGUGAAGAUCCUCAAGGACGUCGUGGCCGCGCUCACCGCCAUCGCCGCGGGCCUCGUCAAGAACACCCGCGGCGGCGCCGGCGGAGCCGUUGUCGGAGGCCUCCCCACCUCCGACGACGCCGACGAGAAGUGAAACUGGCGAUCCAGAAGCUGAAGAAGGACUGCUUGCGUGUUCUCUCUUCCUCCGUCCGACGCGCUCGCUACUCUGCUGCUAUCAUGCGCUCAUUUUAGUGCGCGCAGUAGAGGCCCCGGGUGCCAAAAAUUACUACGAAGCUCUCGUGAUUUAUCUUUUCUGCACUUGUGUGCCUGUCGAUCAGGGAUAGAUCAGUUGCCAUAUUAGAGGUCGCACUGAUUCAUCCGUGGUCUGGUUUCGUUGGUUUGUGGUUCUUGUCCUUCCCAUGGUUUUUGGUUUGGGUUGGGUUUCAGUGGCUGCUUUCAGGAGGUUACCAAGGUUUUUUAAGAAAGAACCUCCUGUUGCUGCUGCUGUUCAGUCUUAAGUUUCUGUUGUGUGAUCACCGGUCAGUAAGUUCGUGUUGUUUGCUGGUGUUUGAUUGUGUAAGGUAGGUGUAGGAGGGAUCAGCGAGUAUUAUGGUCUGCUCCUUUCUUCUCGUGCUACUUGCCACCCCUGUCGUGAUGUAACUUUGUUUGCUAUCUUGUCGAAUAAAUCGAGCUUCUUGUGUGAAAUACUGUCUGUGAUUUGGAAUUCUUGGCUCAAGUGUCCCCCCAAAAUUCUGCAGGUUCACAUCUCCAUUCGCAUGAUUGUAGUACCCCGCAUCUGCAACACGUAGGUGGCUGCUUUCCUGCUGCUGUUUAGAAGUUCGUGGGAUGGAUCGGCAAGUAUUAUGGUCUGAUCCUUUCCCCCUUGUUUGCUACUGUACGGCCUCUGUUGCAGUUGUUGUGUACUUGUGUGAUGUAGCUUUGUUCUCCUCAUGCCAAACAAAUUUAAAACGAGCUUCAUGUGUGAAACAAGUACCGUCUGUGAUUCGGAGUUUCUGGCUAACGUUUUUCCUCCGAACAUUGUGUAGGUAAGCACGUUACUUCAGUUUUCAGGAAAUGGAAUGAUUGUCACCAAACCGUGGCUGACUGCGGGUGCCCUUGUUUAAUUUCCCGCGUCGCCGCGGUGGUCGGAUUCUAGCUCCUCUGCGCCGGCGUCCCAGCCGCCGCCAGCGCCAGCGCCGUCGCCGUGAACAAGGAGGCGGCCGCGCGGCAUCCUCCACGUUCAACGCUAGCCGCCCGUUGCGAAGGGAAGCGUUGGAAACGGUCACAGAUGAUUCCGUCCCACCAACGGACCAGCGAGUCGUCCCGCUGACCUGCUACCCGGUCUGGUCUGCACCGCUGGAACCGGAGAAAGGGCAGCUGCUUGGUGACGAAGGCCGCGUAGCAUGCUCGCUUGCCCCAAAUGGAGCACAUGCCGCGCAUCACCCAACCAAGCGAUCCCCUUUGUGGCGAAAACGCACGGCACUCUGACAGAAAGAAAGCGUACCACACCAGCGGGCCUCGACCAUUCCAGAGCGAAACGCAACGGCGCACUUCGCCUGACCGCUCCACGCCACGCGAAGCCAAAACAAAAGCUUGAGAAGCACACGCUACUGGCAUCGCCUCUGUACGUGCCCCCGAUCCCGUCUCUGUUUCACCGAUCGGACUUCGCCUCCUGCAAGUUGCGGCUCGAAGUCACCACGCGCUUCCCCGUGCCCGGUGGCCGAUGGCGCCCAUUUUAGUCGCGGCCGAGGUGGCGAAAACGAACGCCACCUCCACCAACGGAUCGCCGGUCCAAGUUGGAUGUGCGCGCCACUCUCGACAGGGUUUUCCACAGGUUCAGAGACCCGGAUCGUCAACAAGGCAAACAAUGCAUCAUCGUCAAACAUGCAAAUUGAGUGCCAAUGCCACCAAAGUCCACCAAUUCACCUGUAGUUUUCCUUCCCCCGCGAAGCUCAGGCCGUGCUUGCUCUGCGCCUUGUAGCGUCUCCGGAGUCGUGGCGCUAGUGGUUGUAGCCAUGAACUUGCGCGCGGGGCACCAGCAUCAAACGGCUUUGGCAAUUGGAUGCGAUCUGCAGCGAAGAGCAUCAGAAAUUAGCAAAGCACUCAAGAAAGACAGCUGCGAAAGCAAUGGAACACACGACCCUUUUUUUUGUGUAAAAACCUAAUGGAAGGAAACACAACCUUGUCACUGUCGAAAGUCAAAACCGCAAGGCACGACUGCACAAGAUCAAGGUCCACAACUGCUGCCGAUGAUCAUUCACUUGUAACAUCAGACGGAAUAUUCGGCCGAAAUUGCUGACAGUUACAUGGACCGUACAUAAUGGGCCCCGGAGGUCGCCUUCCGGCGAUGGUGGGCUGGGCCGACAGUGGUGGGUUGUUAGCAUUCGCGCCCGUCGAGUUAUUUGUUGGCCGGUCGGGUCGUCGUCGCUGCGCUGCCCUGCCCUGAAGGCGAGCGAGCUGCGGCUCUGCGCUGCUGGCCUGCUGCUGCUACGACAAGUCCGCUGUCCGCCCAACCAAGUGAUUCACUCGUCACGCCCAUCUCAUUCCGACGCAGCGCCGUUGCGCACGCAGCCACGCAGGCGCAGGCCGCUCGCCCUCCCGGUCCCGGCCUCGCCUUUGCGUCCCCUCGCCUCCACCUCACCACCACUCGCCGCCGCCGCCGCGGCUCCGCCGUCCCGGCCUCCGCGCCGCAGGUCUCUCCCCCCCCCACGGCCCCACCUACCCUCUGCCCCCGCUUGCCUGACACCUGCGCCCUACCCGCCCGCCCCCUCCUCCGCCGCCGGCGAUCGCGGGCGGCCGCCGCAACCGGUGAGUCACGGAACUCCUCUCUGGAUCACUUGGGGCCCCGCCAGAUCCGAUCCGGCCCGCGGGUGGCUGCCGGCAUCGAUCCCGGGUUAGGGGCCGCCGCGCUAGAUCUUACUGCUGAGGGGGUGGUUGCGGUUCGCUUGGAUCAGUGGUUGGGAUCGGCGGUUUGGUGGGUUGCGAUCUCGGGGCGCUGCUGCCGAGGGAAAGGUGGCUGCUUUGGCGCGUUGCUAGGGUCUUGGAGAUGUAACUGCCAGUUCGUCCCUUGUGAUGCAGUGUGGGUUGCAUGAGUGGUAGAAAGGUAGGAUAAGGAUUUGGGGCUCCUUGUCUUGCGUGUUGUAUUGGGGAACAUUGGUGCUGUUCACGGAUUGUUAGUGAAGUUGCUCAAAGUUUACAGUUUAGAUGAUAUUGUCAUCUUUUAGGGUGUGAUUUUCUUAGAUGAGUAGCUGGAAACCUAUUUUUGUACUUUUUUCUGAAAAUGGGAGCGUUGCCUUGAUUCCCAGCAUGGCAGGGCAUUUCAGUUUUUUUUAAUGAUUUGAUGUUUCAAUGUUAGUUUGCAUGCUAAUGUUUGGAAUUUUCCGCAGGCAGAGGCUGUGUAGCGGCGCUGCUAUCUUGCUUACCGUGCUGCUGGUUAUGCUAUCUACUUAUGACUUCAGUUUCCCGAGAUUCUUGCUGCAUCUUGCCCCUUGUCGGUGAGAUUCUGUAGUAACUGCUCCCCUGACUGCAAAAUAAGAAACUAUGCGACUUUCAUCUUCUCUUCAAGAUCUGCCGACCUUCACUAGAAUUGAUGCUUUAGAAAGGGGCUCUAGCAUUGGCAGUGAUCUGAGCUCAGGGCGUGCAAAAACUGUACGCACACUUCAAAGGGAUGGUCCUGUGGCAAGCUUUUCAAAAGAAAGAACACCCCCAUCAUCACCGACAAAUCGAAAGAAAUGCAUGAGAGCAGCUGGUUGCGCUAUUGCACUGAUAGUGCUGGCGUUCUGUGCAUAUGCUUCUUGGAGAUAUUUCCAUGUAUUCCUCUCUGAAGGAAACUCUGAAUACUAUGUGGUUCUUGAUUGUGGCAGCACAGGUACAAGGGUGUAUGUCUAUGAAUGGCACAUCAAUCAUAAUGAUGCAAAUGGAUUUCCUAUUGUUUUGAAACCUUUAGGGAAUGCUCCUAAGAAGAAAUCUGGUAAAUUAACUCGACUAUACCAGCGAAUGGAGACUGAACCUGGAUUGAGCAAGCUUGUUCACAAUGAAGCUGGAUUGAAGAAGGCACUAGAGCCCCUCCUUCAAAUGGCUGAGAAGCAGAUCCCUAGAAGAGCACACAAGCACACUCCACUUUUUCUAUAUGCUACAGCUGGUGUCCGCAAGCUACCUAGUGCAGACUCAGAGUGGCUCCUGGAUAAGGCCUGGGAUGUUCUGAAAAAUUCAUCAUUUUUAUGUAGUAGGGACAGAGUUAAGAUCAUCACAGGCAUGGAUGAAGCUUAUUAUGGGUGGAUAGCUCUUAAUCAUCACAUGAACAUGCUUGGCACCUCAGCAUCUAAAAUGACAUAUGGUUCGCUUGAUUUAGGUGGAUCAUCAUUACAAGUUACAUUUGAGACUGAUAAAACAGUGCAGGAUGAGACAAGCAUUAGUCUGAGGAUUGGUUCUGUUGAUCACCAUCUUAGUGCUUAUUCUCUUACUGGUUAUGGAUUAAAUGAUGCAUUUGACAAGUCCGUGGCACAUCUAGUGAAAAAGUUGGGAGGAGUGGCUAACAAUGGCAAAGUUCAAGUCAAACACCCUUGUCUACAGACUGGAUACAAAGAAGAUUAUGUCUGUUCUUACUGCCACCCACUAAAACAAGAUGGAAGUCCUAGUGUUGGUGAGAAGACAACUGGCAAAGAGAAGCAGGGAGUACCUGUCGAACUGGUUGGAGCACCUCAGUGGAAUGAAUGCAGUGCUCUUGCAAAAGUAACAGUUAAUCUUUCAGAGUGGUCCAGUGCAAGUCCAGGACUUGAUUGUAACCUUCAUCCUUGUGCUCUUGCUUCUAACUUUCCCCAACCACAUGGGAAGUUUUUUGCUAUGUCUGGCUUCUUUGUUGUUUUUAAAUUUUUUAAUUUGACUGCCGAUGCCACUCUGGUUGAUGUUCUAAAAAGAGGUCAGGAAUUUUGUGAAAAACCAUGGAAAGUUGCAAAGAGUAGUGUUCCUCCACAGCCAUUUAUAGACCAGUACUGCUUCAGGGCUCCUUAUAUUGCAUCACUACUGAGAGAGGGAUUGCAGAUUAAAGAUAAUCAGGUGAUAAUCGGCUCUGGCAGUAUUACUUGGACUCUUGGGGUUGCUUUGUGGGAGGCAGGUCAAGCAUUGUCUACACGAAUCGAUAUUCAAGGAUACCGAAUACUGCACCGGGAGAUAAACCCGAAUAUUCUCAUAGUGUUGUUUCUGGUUUCAAUUGUGUUGGUCAUAUGUGCCAUAUUAUGCGUCAGCAAUUCAAUCCCAAGAUCAUUCCGCAAGUCUUAUCUGCCACUUUAUAGGCACAAUUCUGCUGGGAGUUCUGUUCUUGGUAUGGGGUCGCCUUUCAGAUUUCAAUUAUGGAGUCCCAUCAAUUCAGGUAUAUAUAUAUGUAUGCAAGUGCUUUUUUUCUUUAUUUACAUGCCAUCAUGGUUUUCCCACUCUGUAGAAAGCCACUCUACCAUUUAAAGAUCAGAGUGGUACUUGAAUUGUUUUGCACUAGUAUCUGUUGGCUGCAUCAUACCGUUUUUUUUUCUAGACAAAAGUGUUUACCUGUUUUGUUAGAAAGAGAAACCAACAGUGUUUCCAUCACUGGUGGAGCUUGGACCCAAUAUUAGAACCAAUAUUAGAAGGGGCCAACACUGAAUCCUAUGUGAAGUAAGAAAGUUGAGGUGCCCUGUUUGAAGCCUGAUCAGUAAACUUUCCUAAUAAACUACUAGAUUUACUAGUUCUAUACAAAUGUUUUGGGGAGUCAAGCCUCCAUUGGCAACAAUGAAACUCUGCCUCUAGUUGCCAUCUUGUUAGUUUUAUUGCAGUACAUUAAUCUUCAAGAAAUAGCAUUGCCUAGAACUCUUGCUUGAUGCAACUCACUCAUGUUUUUACUUCGAUUGACUUGUAAUAAAAUGGCAUCCAGACAGAUUUUGUAAUGUUAGCUCAUGUAUGUUUUAUAUCACCUUAAAUCCUUAAUCCUGUAACCCCAUUUUCUAUAUAUAAUGGUACGAAAGAAUGGACACAUUUUUUCAUCACAUAUAUUCAAGAGCAUGUUUCAAUUUUUGUUUGAAUCUCACUCUUCUUUACUGUAGACUACUUAGAUGAUCAAACUUUUAAAUGUGCUCUACUUUGUCUGACACUUCACAGGCGAUGGAAGAACAAAGACACCCCUGAGCCCUACUGUAGCUGGGUCAGAUCCCCAUCCGUUCGGUAUGAGCCAUGGAUUAGGAGGCAGUAGUGUUCAGCUUAUGGAGUCCUCUAGGCAAUCCUUGGGCGUCUAUCACAGCUAUUCUGUUGGGAGCUUAGGUCAGAUGCAGUUCUCCAGUGGAGUGAGGAACCCUAGCCGAGGUCAGACUACACUUCAAAGCCGGCGGUCACAAUCAAGAGAAGAUCUCAGUUCUUCAUUAGCUGAUAUUCAUGUUCCAAAGGUGUAGCAUUUGCAUCACAGAAUGACAUGACUAGAAUGAGAUCCUAUAUGCCAUAACAAACUCUGUAAAUAAUAGCUCCAGAGUUCAGACUGCUUGAUUUCUUCUCUAAUCAGAAGUCAAUUUUGUCGGUACACUGACACUUAAGUGAGGUUUAGGAUUCAUAUAAAUGUUAAACUUAUGACUUGGUGUCUAUCCUGGACAUGAUACAUCCAUUCAUCCCAUUGUAUGUGCUAGAGAACAUAGCAUAAAGGUGAAGUUUUUAGUAGUGUACCAGAAGAUAUGUUUAUGCCGUUCACAGGAAUGGUUGGCCGUGGGCUGGAACCUGCAAGUCUGUAGAUCAAUUCUUCUGCAAUCAGGCGGGCAAUACUUCCUUCAAAUGUGUUUUUAAUAUGAAACAUAAUAAAGAUGCAUGUGGCUUCAUGUAUUGUUGUUGUACCCUCUUGUAAUCUUAUUGUGAGCCUUAUCUCCUGGACACCAUUUAGUGUGGCACCUUGUGAUAUCAAAUUGAAAUUUGGAUUAGUACUACCGGAUUAUUCCAGGUGCCUUCAGUGCAGACACGUAUUCAUUUGUAAACCUUAUUUAACAUUCCUUACACGGAAAAGAGAAGGUCAUCUUUUCCACAGAUGGUGUUUUUAUUUGUAUUUGAUUUGUCCGCUGGAAACUGGAGUUUAGAGCUUGUAUCAGGAGAUGAGUGCUUCCCCCAGCUCAUGGCUGCAUAGAUGGGACAUGGGAGGUCGGAGCCCGGAGCCCGGAGGCAUGCUAUGUGAUUUUCAAUAGGCUGCAAACACUGGGGGUGUUUGGGAGGCAUGUGCUAAAUUUUAGCACCUGUCACAUCGGAUGUUUGGACACUAAUUAGGAGUAUUAAAUAUAUUCUAAUUACAAAACUAAUUGCACAACCCCUAGGCUAAAUCGCGAGACGAAUCUAUUAAGCCUAAUUAGUCCAUGAUUUGACAAUGUGGUGCUACAGUAACCAUUCGCUAAUGAUGGAUUAAUUAGGCUUAAUAGAUUCGUCUCGCGAUUUAGCCUAGGGGUUGUGCAAUUAGUUUUGUAAUUAGGCUAUGUUUAAUACUCCUAAUUAGUGUCCAAACAUCCGAUGUGACAUGUGCUAAAAUUUAGCACCUGCUAUCCAAACACCCCCCAAAUUUCGUGGAGAUUGAGAGCACAGUCCUGCGUAAGUAAAAGUAACUUUCUGUAGUAGUUUUUGAAACUUUCUAUCUGAUUUUCACAUGAUUUGUAUUUUUUACUUUUAUCCCAUUUCUGCGGGAUUUUAACCUAUGACUCCUAAGGCCACUCCAAGAUGACUGUAAAGGCAUUUUUGGAUGUAUUCAGAAAUUUCUUAUCGCACUGGUCUCCAUUCGUUUUUUUAAAACAGAAAUUCUUCCCCUUCGUCUUUGACAACUUAACAUCCGAAUUCUGCCUGUAUCAUGAACAUCAGAACGUAUAAUCAAGCAGCACGUCUCUGACAUGUGGGUUCAUCGGUCAGGCUAAGAAGCGAAAUCAGUCGCGCACCUUCGUGUGCUUGCUCACACAUCGACCGUACGAUAUGACCGAUGCACCCGCAACACGAAUCACGACGUCGAUCACGCAAACCCUAACGGCCAACCCUACUAUAUAAACCUUCCUCUCCUCCCCACUCCCGCAGCCGCCGCCGCCCACGAAUUCGAAGCCCGUCGCUUGCGCCUCAUCCCCGCCGCGUCGCCGCCGGUCUCCUACCUCCGCCACCAUGGGGUACGUUCGAUGUCUCUUUUACCCUUCGUCCUGAUUUCCUGCACCUGUGCUCGUGUUGCGCUGGGCAUUCGUUCAUGGAGGCGCUCCUUUGCCGCAGCCCGCAGGAAGCCCUCUGUUCGAUGCGUAGAUGUUAUGUUGUGGAUGUUAUUUAGGCUGCUUUGUGUUGGAUUAGGGAAUGAAAUCGCGUUAGAUGUGAGAAGCAAAACUGAGCUUAUUGACGGUCCAGUGCUGAUCAGAUUAUACACCGUCAGUGCUAAACAUACUCAUAAGCGACAUCAAUCCGUUGCCGCCGUGUAACCAUGUGCUCCUGGAUUCAAAUGCUUGGGUCCGGGAGGUUAUGCGUGGUGGCAUACAAAGUUUGUUUUUCCCUCUAAUGUGCUGUUCUAAGAACCUCCUCAAUCAGUUGGUUCUGAUUCUUUUUUGGGUAUAUGUCUAUGCGGCUGGUUAUUUAUGAUGUUUUUAGUGAGGUCAAUGUUGUGUUAGAUAGAUCUUUAUACUUGUUUGAUUUUUGUGUAGAAUCUGCUUACAAUUCUAGGUGAAAUCGUACCAGUAUUCAAAAUUGAUACAAUUCAGGAUCAAAGUUUACUUUUAGUAAUUUGAAUUGCUUACAUAUAUGUACUUUGGUUCCUCUUUGUACUGGUUGAUGUUCAUUUGUAUCUAUAUGCUCACGCCAUUAGCUCAUGACAUAUUUCACAACUUCACAUAUGCUUAUGCAAUUUACAAUUGUGUUCUGUGAGAUGAAGAACUUGUGAUUUAUAUAAAGUUGAUGUAACAAUUAUGAUUCACAUCACAGAAAGACACGUGGUAUGGGAGCUGGGCGCAAGCUCAAGACCCACCGCAGGAACCAGAGGUGGGCAGACAAGGCAUACAAGAAGAGUCAUUUGGGGAAUGAGUGGAAGAAACCCUUUGCUGGAUCAUCUCACGCCAAGGGCAUUGUUCUGGAGAAGAUGUAUGUUUGAUAGUUCAAUCAUAUGUGCCUGUCUUAUCUCUACCGUUUGUGCUUGCGCUAAGGUCUUAUACUUCUAUUGUGUAGUGGUAUUGAGGCCAAGCAGCCGAACUCUGCCAUCCGUAAGUGUGCCCGUGUUCAGCUGGUGAAGAACGGGAAGAAGAUUGCUGCCUUUGUGCCGAAUGAUGGUUGCCUGAACUAUAUUGAGGAGAAUGUACUUGUUCCCCAAUCAACGCUCCUUGUGAUGCCAGUGUUCCUUGUGAUGAUUGCCAACUGUGUAAUGAAGCUAACCAACUACUUUCUUGCUGUAGGAUGAGGUGCUGAUUGCUGGAUUUGGUCGUAAGGGACAUGCCGUCGGAGAUAUUCCCGGUGUCAGGUUCAAGGUUGUGAAGGUAUCUGGUGUGUCGCUGCUCGCGCUCUUCAAGGAGAAGAAGGAGAAGCCAAGGUCUUAGAUUGCUUGUGAUAGGCAAGAAUGAAGUUGUGCUAGCAAUAGAGCUGUUCAUUCUGAGCUGUAUCUUUGGGCAGCAUUACUAUUUUGUUUCCAUUUUGAAGAUAUUAAUAUUGCAUCGCCUGUGCUCUGAAGCUGAGAAAUCUGUCUCUCCGAGCUGCCUCUUUUGGUAUUGCACAUUGCCUGUUUGUUUUAUCCGUCUUUUGCCUUUGACAAGUCUCUUGUUUCUAAGUCGAGGUAAUGCUUUUUUGAGGAUUGAUUCAUAGUACUCUGUUCGUAAUUUGAUGCUGUGGAGAUAGACUUAGCCUGAUUGGUUCCCUGCACGCAGGUGAACCAGGCUCGCUAGAUGCAGGUAGUGCUAGUUUGGUUGCCGGCUCCGGCCACCGAGAGCCGGAAACGUGAGAAUCGCUCGGAGCAACUUGUAUCCAUAAAUUCUCACUCGGAGCAACUUGUAUCCAUACCUGCAUCCAUACGUUCGUGCAACCAAUCAGGAUGCAUUGUAUGCAACUGGCCUGGCUCACGGGGCAGGCUGGAGCCAUCCAAUUACACCCUUAUAUGGUCACAAAUGACGCCCUGGUCACAGUUUGUGCUUCGAACGACCAGAUGUUAUUUUUUCUAAAAUGGUUUCAUAUUGUCAGCGGGUAGAUUUUCAGCUGAUACGACUCUUAGCUUGAUUAGUGGUGACUGCAAACUCUUAGCCAACUUGAUGGCAGUUAAAAGCUCAAAGUUGUGGGCAAGACGUGCGUAAUCGACUUGUACACGACCGUUUCGUCGAUGUCUCGUAAGAGUGACGAAAUUAUUCAUCCAAUGUGAAAAGUCAGCUUACAAAGCCAUUCAUCCUGUGACACGAGAUGUUCCAGAAGUAGCAACUCAGAGCACAAAAAUCGUCAGCAAUAACGAUGUUCCAGCAUGCUGGAUCACUAGAGAAUUGGAUAGUGUAAAGCGGGCAAAAAUAUAUCAUCUGUAACUCUGGAUGUUAAAUUAGCAAACUACAAAAAUCUAUGCACAACUGUAAUGGCCACAGCUACUGCUCUGGGAUAAACAUUGUAGCGAAACCAUGGCAUAUACACCAAGCUAUCAAAGUUAGCGGCCAUCCUGCGACUCGUCUACCUUAUUCACAUGUACAUCACAGCACGCAGGCAGCAAAGGCACGGCCAUGAGGAUACAGAUAGCCUCCAUCUCCAUGCCAUACAUCUGUCAAGGGAUAAAACAAAAAUUGAGCCGAAAGGUACUUGGCAAUCCUGUAGGAAUGAUGAAGGCAUUCCAGAGUGACUGGAAUUAUCCUAAAGUUGGUGUGGGCAUGCCUGAGAUUGGAUAGUAACUACAGACAACGUCAGCACAAUUCCUAUUUUCAUUCAAAGAAACUCACCAUUUUGACCUUGUUGGCUGGCACUGUGAAUAUGACGCAGUCACCAGCUGUUUGACAAAAAAGAAGCUAUGUCGGAUUCCCAGUGACAAAGAUUAUCAAGAAACUCACCAUCAAGAAUUUAACAUGUGAUUCAGACACCAAGAGCAACAUUAGGACUUUUUGGUCUUAGCCAGUUCUAUAAGACUCUUACCUGAUACAUCCCUCCUUUUAGCAGAAGGUAACCGAGACUGUUCAAAUUAUCAACAAGAGCAUCUAAGUCUGGAACUCGCAAGCUGAUCUUAUCAGCUAAGUUGUAAAUCUCCUGGGAAUAGGAAGAAUGAUACAACAUGAGGGCAGCCUCAGGAAUCAGAACAAUGUUUUUGUGCAAUUAUUCUGAAGUAGACUAUUGUCCUAUUUACUGCAUGAACCAAAAAAUGCUCAAAAUGCCGUGAAGGCGAUUUUUCUCCCAAACAGAGCAGAUUUUGAACAGUAAUUAAACUUAAAAAGAGAUCUAAGUGGCUUGAUUGCCACAUCACUUACAGUUCUUGAAAAGCAAUCUUUUCGUUGCAACUCAGAUUCCUUGUUUAACGCAUUCAGAAACGUCCUUGCCUCCUUUUGUUGGCUCAUCCCACCGCUCCGAGCAAAAUCGACAAAACCAUGUUCAUCAACAUAUUUGUCAUAGAGAGAUUCCUUCAUGAUAUCUACAACAUCCUGCCACAUGAUAAAUUAAGCAUUAAAAUAAUAUGCCACAGGAUGCUGUUUAUAAUUGUGUUUUCCUGUCAGACAUGCGGUUUUUUUCUCGAACCCGCAGGAGAGCUGCGUAUCUUUGUAUUAAGAGAGAAUAGAUGCUCCAAUUACAAAAAUCAUCACCACACCUUGGACCAGAGUGAGGGAUGAGGGUUUUUUUAGACAAAACUCUUACAUAGAUGAAACACAGCUAAGACCUGACCAAGAUAAACCACUUCCAACUCAGACAUGCGUUUGGCUGGAAAUGAGCUACACUUCAGGCAUAGGCAUCAAGAAUCAUAAAACCCCAUAUCUCAUAGCUAGUGGAGCAUAACCCAGUUUAAGUGUAAUAGACAAAGCAAUUCAAUGAGCUGAACGGAUCAAAGGGCCUAGGGUUUUGUGAAAUCUUAUGACCCUGAGAUCUUGGGCCAUUGCAACUAGUUGAGAAACAUAUCAAUUUCUGCAAUUAUGACCAUAAACCAUGCAGUCCAUGAGAUUUUCUCUUUUAAGAUGCAUUCUACUGACACUGCAAGAAAGGUUAAUAACAAAAACAGCAGUAGAAAAACUGAGGAUUGCUUAUUUUACCUGAGCAUCUUCUCUGGUCACUUCUUCUCUUAGAUCCACGCGAGCACGAGCUUCAGCUAAUCUGACUAGGCUUUCCAACUGCCUGGCUGUGAUGGGUGUACCGUCAGCAGAAGUGCUGCGGUUUCUCAAUCCCAAAUAAAAUUUUUUCAAAAUUUCAGCUGCUGCCUUUGACAUUCUUAAGAAGAGAGAAAAGUGAGUGGGCAAGGUAUCAAAAAAUGGAUUACGCCUUGCAUUGCACUUGCACUAAAAGUCAAAUUGUACAAGAUACCUAGGGAAUACAUGUUCUCUUGAAUAAGCUAUAUACUUGCGAAGAAAUUGCCCAGCUAAUGGAGCGAAAUCCUUAUCUUUCUCUGGGUGUAGUCUCAGUCUUGAAGCCACUGAAUUCCCAACAACUCCAAACCCUGGAUCACCAUUAUGUGACACUAUGCAAAGUUGCAAAACGUGAACGAUGGCUUACACCUAAGUUAUACAAACGAAGAGGAAGAACCACAAAACAGUGUGUAAAUAAUAACCUGUUCUGAUCCUCUUGUUGGAUUUGAAAUUAUCACCUUCGUUGGUAUGAAGCUGCUUGCAUGAAAUUUUGGACAUCUUAGUAAUUCAAUUAGAAGUAUGUUCGGUAAGACAAAAUCGUCCUUACAAACAAUAGAUUCAUUGCAUGAUAUGAGCAUGCAAGUUAUCCAUACUAUAUACUUGGGAGAUGUGAAUGAGAAAACAUGUCUGACAGCCACUUACAGCUAUUAUAUGAUCUGACACUCUUUUAUCUAGUAACUCGUCUGGCUUGUCGAGUAGAAUAAAAACCAAGUCAAAACGAGACAGGAGGGCAGCACUCAUCUUUAGAUUCUCGUUCACUGUUUUUGCUCGGCUGCAGCAAACGGUAUAUUUAGAUGGCAAAAAUUGCAUACAAUAGCCAUGAAUAUUUAGGCUUAAAUCCUCAGCAAACCCAAAAAAAACACGAAAGGGAUAAAUACUGGACAUAAAUGUCAGUCACAAACUACCACCAUUUCAUCAAAACAAACGUCAACUACCAACCAAAGUGAAGUGAAAUGGGACGAAAUACACCAGAAAAUAUGCACAGAUGAAUGGUGUUACUUCCAGUUUAGUCCUCUUCAGUUGCAGACUUGCAGUAUAGGACUAAAGUUAAAAGUUCAAUCAAGUAACAUUUCGUUCAAUAAAAAUAUAAAAUCAUCACCACAUACCACUCUAGAGCACCUAAACUACUAGAGUAAUUCCACAUACCUCCAUCUUUAACAGUUGAUGCUAUCAGUAUUGUGUUUCUUUUUUCUUUCGAAGAAAAGGAGGUGAAUGGAGAUGAGUGGCCAAGAAUAAUUGUCAUUUUCAGCCUUAACACUAGAUGCUAUCAGCAUUUCUUUUCCAAAAAAAAAGGAUGAAUGGGGAUGACUGAUCAGGAAUAACAAGUUUUUCAGUAAGUAGGAUAGAAAAUAUUAACGCACUCAUAAUGACCACCAACAGGAUUUGCAGCUGCCAACACAGAGGUACGAGCUGAUAAACUGGCUACAAGGCCAGCCUUUGCAACAGAAACACAUUGCUGCUCCAUGGCUUCAAGUAAAGCCUGAGAACUAAAACAAAAUUAGAAACAUGAUUAUAUAGGCUUGGGAACUUCCUCGUUGAUGAACAUUUCAUGGAAAAGCUUCAUAAGGUGAAAAAUAACAGAACUACCUGAUGUUCUGCAGACAUUUUAUCAAACUCAUCAAUACAGCAUAUUCCACGAUCAGCAAGGACCAUUGCACCUAUAAGUCAAGGACUCAACUUUAUUUUAAUCUCAUCACAAUUCACAAAUUCUAACACCACAAAGAAAAGGCACACCAGAACAAAGAGCAGUUAGAACAGCAAUUGAUAUGACAAGGAAAAACAUAAAAUGGCAUCGCUAACGCUAGUACAUGAUUUUGAACAGGAAGCUUUAAAAUUGUCAUGAAGGAAUAAAUGUUUUAUUGUUACCAGCCUCAAAUGCAUAAUCAUUUGUCAUAGAAUCUUUAACCACAGCAACAGUUAGGCCAGCCUUUGUCGUAGUAUUCCCACAUACAUAUAUUCCUCGUGGGGAAACAGCUGCUGCAGCUUGAAGGAGUUGGCUCUUGCCUAGGCCUGGAUCACCUGUAAUUCAUUAAGCAAGAGCAUAAUCUCAUCAAUGGAAACACUAAAGAAAUCUGAUGGGAGUUAUGGUAAACAAUAAGAAAUUACCAACUACAACAACAUGAAUGUCUCCUCUAACAGGGACCUUGUCUUGAUCCAUUGAGUUCUUCUGCACACCGCCGAAAAGAGCAAGUGUGAUACCAGCUGAAAAUCAGGGUACAUCAAUUAAAUUAUGUCGAGUAAUCAUAUGCAAUUAAAAGAGAUGAAAUAAGCAGAUCUGCCAUUUGGGAGUGAAAAUACUAAAAGAAGUGCCUUGACCAUCGUCCAAAGACAUCCAAAAGCAAUUGCAGCUGGUAAUGGCUUUGUCAUCCAGAAAUGGCAUACUGCUCCAUAACAAAUUGAGCAAAUAGCUGAAAACUAGUUUUCUUAUAGACAAAAAUUGAAGGGAAUAAUAGAUUUCACAAAACAACAUCUUUCAAAUAUUAGGACAGCAAGAGCAAAUUAAAUAGAUCUUAACAACAUUAAAUAACUGAGAAAUAUCUUGUAAUUCUGAUAUAAUACAGAAUAAAGAUGAAAAACAGAAUAAUAGGGUAGAAAAUACCUUUUACAAGUUCAUGCCCAUAGAUGGAGGGACAAAAGGAUUGAAGUAUUUGGCGAAAUACAUCAGCACCAUGUUCUUUUUUAUAAUUGACAGCAAAAUCACGAUCCCUUUCAGUAUUGCUCUGAAAAUCACAAAUUCCUCUAGCCCGAAUUUCUUCGUCUGAAACAGCACAGGUCUUCAGGUUUCUCACUGAAACUGCUUCUAGGUACAGGUAGUAUAAACCCUGGUUCUUGCUUCUGGACUUCCCUGAAGAUAUUAAUUAUAGAUUCAUAAAAUAUUCAAUUAAAGUGUGUGUGCUCUAAAUUAUUACAAAAGUGAAAGUUUCAACAAUUUUUUUAUCAAACACACAGGAGAGCUGUGUAUCUUUGUAUUAAGAGAGAAUGAAUAGUCCAAUUACAAAAACACCAUCUCACCUUGGAGCAGAGUGAGGGAUGUGGGAAUUGAGCAGAAAUAUAAACCUUACAAAAACACGAAAUAAAAGGCCUGACCGAGCUAACCAACCCAACCUCUAGACCCAAUCCUACCAAGGUGAGACUCAUCCUUGAAGGCCUGUAGAGCUCCCUGGACACUAGGAACAGAUCCAUCGAAAACACAAGCAUUGCGGUGUUUCAACAAUUUGUUUAUACCAAACAAGUUUCUAUAGUCCUUAGUGAAGGAUCAUGCAAGAUUGCAGAAUAUAAGGAUACACAAACUACACAUAAAGAGUCUUAAAUUCAUGAAACUCACAGAAAGCAUGGAACCCAAAUAGAAAAUGUUUGAGCAAUAUACAAAAGUAGAGAUGUCCUGCCACAUGGCCCACACAUCAGAUAUUAAACAGAUAGCCAAAACUGAUAAGAACAGAUGAUGGAUGCAGCGAAAGAAACUUUUCGCCAGGUUUUUUCAUGGAGAUCUUCAUCAUCAAAGUAUGGCAUGUUUGGAAGCAGAGAAAUGGACUAAUCGUUCAGAAUCAGAGGCCAAGUAUUGGAGAAUGGAAAAGAAACUUCAUUAAUGAAUUUACUUUGCAACUACAUGGUGUAAAAAUAAAUGAUAGAGUAAUAGUUAUGUUUUGGCUAGAAUCUCUCCCUUGACUUCCAUCUGGGGAUCUCCUGUAUAUAGCCCAUCCUGUACUGUCUUUUUGCAUCUAUAUAAGUACUACACACAGAAAGAGAGAGGAGUAAUAUCUAUCAUGUUAAUACUUCUAAUGAAUUACUUUUCCCCCACAGUCCGUAACGCACUAGAGCUAGACACUCAAUCCAAAUUAAUCACCAGGAGAAAAAGCAAAAAGUCGCCAACACAUACUAUGGCAUAGAUAAUCCAAACAGCUAAACAAUUUUUGACAAAUAGACUGAUGGUUUGCAGCAAAUGAAAUAGCGUAUCAAUGCAAACUAAGAAAAUAGCACUGUUAUAGCCAUUUUAAGUGUACCUCCUCCAACAUCCAUAUUGUUCAGUACUUUGACGAUUCCAGUUACCGUUACUAUCUCUCCAGGGAUGCAACAAUCAACGAGGUCUUCUGUAAGCUCACACUCAAUUGUUCGUGGCACUCGGCCUUCUUCAUGGUUGUCAGCACUAACAAGCUCCUGUAUCCUGGACGGGAACAUAAGAAAAGCAAAGCUUUUAGCACUAUAUGCGGAGGAUAGUGCAAAUGAGUUUACUCAUCACCUGCCUUAUUUUCUGGAAAUCCAUCAACUUUGCACUAGAUCUAUCUGGAGUGAAGGUUCUGCUCCUGCAUCCCUGAAUGGUACAGGACAUUGGAGGUGAAAACUUCCCAUCACAGAACACUCGUGGGUUUUCUUUACCACACUUCAUGCAACGGAAUUCCAGCUCCAGGACAAGAGGUUUUACAGUGCUGACUUUUACAACAGUGCCGCGCACGGUGACAAGUUUCUCUACCAAUGGGGAAAAAAUCUACAAAUCAGCACUUCAAUUAUAUGCGCACUAGCAUAUUUUCACAAGAAUAAAGGCAGGAAGAAAUUUACUGAUAAAGGCUGCUUUUAGUUUCUUCAAAGCAAUAGUCGCCCCCGUAUUGUAAAGCCUAAUAUUGACCUUGUUGAUCUUUCCUGAACAUAAAGCCUGAAAAUAUCAAGAACAAUCAUAAAUUGAACAGAAGUGCCAUAUGGUCUGCCGGUCCACAACCAUAUUAAUAAAUUUUAGCAUGAAUAGGCAUGAACCAGAUGAGCUGCAGCUCCCAUGCAAAGCAAGACUUCUUUUGGAGAUUCCUCGAGUUCAUCUUUAAUAAACACGCAUGACUCCUGAAGCUGCUUGAAAUCAAUCGGAAGAGAUAAAAUGUCACUGCCAUCAUCUUCGACCUGUGCAUAUAGAAACAACCGCAUGAGACAAGUGGGUAACUUCCUGCAUUUGCAGUUGGCACAUUUUCACUAUGAUUAUCCAAGAAACUAUACAGCACCUAAUAAAAUGAUGGUGAAGAGUUCUGAAACACAUGGUUCACAUAUGGCAAUACCUUGAUCGCCUCAAGUACAAUUAUAAAAAAAGCACAUGGUGAGCUAAAGCAGACAGAUAUUAACUGUGCCACGAAUCAUAUGCCAAAGAAAUAGUAUUCCCUUUUGACUUCAAGCAUGGUCUACAUUUAACCAUGCAAUAAGCUGCAGCAGAGCCUCUGAUGCUUUCAGACUUUAAGAAAUAGAAAAUUGCAGAGGAAUACUUGCUCCGUUAUACUUUAACAAAAACAUUUUCAGAGUCGAGUUUGAAACUAAUAUAUUUUCUACAGCAACAUCACAAAAUUUAAAUGGCGUGGAAGCAUUGAUUACCAAGAAAACAUUGUCUCUCUUGUUAAUAAUUUGCAACUUAGCAUGCCUGGUUUGUAAACUCAGACGACGCUAUUUCGUUGCUUUGAUUAAUAAUGAAAUUAGGACAUAGCCCUCAAUGGAAAAAACCAAGAAAACAGUGUCUCUCUUGUUAUGUACUCUACAAAUUACGACGUGACAGGGAAAGUUGGGUAGUUGGAGGAGCUACUGAUGAAGCUUGAAAGUUUUUCAUUAUCAGAAGAGUGAGGUGACCUAGUUUGUAGAGAAAUCAGGGAAAUAUACCACAAGAUAUUCAUAGAGCUUUGAUGUUUUGAGGAGUAGUUAACCAGCAAGUGGCAAUGUUUGGAAGAGCAAGAUCCCACUCAAGGUGAAAUUCCUUUGGAUGGCUUGCGACGACAGCAUUCAGCUGUCACUACAAUUGAAGAGAAGGAAGUGGAAAGGAGGAGAGCAAUGCAAACCCUGUGGACAGGGGGAAACAAUUGAUCGCAUUCUUUUUCUUUGCCCCGUAGCUUUUUUUUAUGUCUCGGUUUUCUUAAAGGAUAUCUUUAUGUAUCUAGGAUGUGAUAAUUUCUAAGUGAAAAAUCAAGGAAACUGAUCCUGUUUUGUUGUGCAGGGACUUUUUGGGUGCUGUGGAAGAUGAGGAAUGAUAUGGUUUUCAACAAAAAGUUGGUGAACCAGUGGCCAUAAUUUAAAGAUGGUGGCCCAAAUCAAACACUGGAAGGUGAUGCGCUGAUGCUGCAGGAGAAAAGGACCAAGAAAGAGGAGGAGGUUGUCAGGACAAUUGCUCAGGGGCUCAAGCAAAUCUGACAGUUUCUACAGCAGUUUUUGGGGGUAGUUUCUGUUGUCCUGGAUCAGUCAUACAACUAGCUAUAAGGUGGCUCAGGCUGCCAAAAAUCUGGGUGUGGUUGGAGUAAUCAUUGAGAAGAGUUGAGACCUUGGGGGAGAUCAAGUUGGAGCUAGUUUUACUUUGGAUAUGCUUAGUUCUGUUCUUGAUGUAGUUGUUUCUGUUUUGGUUCUCUGAGCUCGAUAACUGUAAACUGGCAACCCCGGCGAAUCCUUGAACAUUUAAGUUUUCUAUAAAGAUGGGCCAGAAAUGGUAUCUAUGUAAAAAAUUUAGAUGUCAGAGCACACCCUCACAUACUUGAACGUUAUAAACAUAAUGACCAGUAUAUUUUUACAGUGUUACAGAUCAUUAGUUUUUUACUGUCCAGCUACACAGUCAUAGAUUCCACUUCAAUGCAUAAUCGUAAACCAUAUCAUGCCUUGUGCCUUGUGCAUUGACAUUAGGGGUUGCAUAUCACUAUGGUAUUAAUAAACCAAGACGAGGAAACAGAGUGAACUUCAGAUAACUUCUGCUCCAUUUUUGUUCAUUUCCCCCUUUUUAAGUCACUAAAAAGUUAAAUUAAACGGAAACUAAGCAUUUAUCCUGCAAGCUUCUGAACAGACAAGUGAAUGUAGUUGCCACAUUGAUAAAAUUUCGCCAGCGAGAGAAUCCGCCAAAUCCUCGGCAUUUCGCCAGUAGCAUCAUAUGAACCAAAAUUUUAAAAUCCUAGCGAGAUUGCCACCAACGACACACACGCGAAACAGGAGAUGGAGCGCUAAACUUAACAUGAGAUCGAAUCGGCCUCGCGUACUUACCCGUGACUGAAGGCCCUUCACCACCGUGGAGAAGGAGGAUUCAAACAGCGCGGCGGCGAUGCGGACCUUGCGGUCGGACUCCGAGAACCCUGCCUCCUCGGGGAAGUACCUCUUCCAGACAUCCGCGAGCCGCUUCUCGACGGGGGUGACGUCAAUAGUGGACCCUUUGGGUUGGUGGCCCUUCAUUGUGUCGGCGUACAUGUCGCCGGAGGCCUCGGAGCCUCGCGUCCCCGGCAAGUCGUCGCGGCGGCGAGGCGAGGCGAGGCGAGGCGAGGCUUGAGAGGCGGGCCGAGCCGCCGAGCAAUUUUUUCUUUCGCGGGUUUUUGCGCGGUGGCCGCGGGGGCAGCGGGGAACAGCGCCGGAGACCCACCAGAGACACCACAUACGAGGGUUUCUGCCGGGGCGCAUCGAUAUCUCUCACGGACAGGUGGGCCCCAAGCCUGAGUCCGGCUUGAGCACACGCACGACGGAGCGAAACCCUACAUGGGCCACAUCCAGUUCGCUCGCUCCCAUUCGGGCGGUCGGGCGGGGGGUUGCCAAGCCCAGUUCGCAGCGUUUACUUCUUUCCCGGAUAAAGUGGGCUAAGAGCAACUCCAAGAGUUCCCUAAAAAAUUCUUCACCAACACGAGAUAUUGGGGGCUAUGCUAAAAAUUUUUCCCUCAAAAAACAUAUCAUUCCACAGCAAAACGCUAAAAACUAAACCGCUAAUAUUUCAAAUGAAGCCACGUCAUCAUAUUGGGCCCAUUUUAGGAUCGUUUUUUUUUCCAGCAGGCUGGGACCCCUCGCUCGUCGCCAGACUUCUUUUUUCCCUGACGCCGCCGGACUUCUUUUUUCCAGGCCCUCGUCACGGCACGCCGCCGGACUUCUUUUUGGUUAUUACUGAAUAGCACGUUUCUUUUCCAUUUUAGGAGCUGAAUAGCACGUUUGCAGGGGAUUUCAGGUUCUCUAUUAUUACUGAAGAUGAUCAGGCUGUAAUAUAUGCUUCUUGUACUUGAUUUCGAGCAGAUGCUGCAACCUGCAGCCGCUGGCUCAACAUAGAACAAAACAUCACUAAUAAUAUUGAUUGAGCAAACAUUAAAAUCGACACAAGACGAUUUGAUCAAAUCCACGUUAAUACCAUAUGGAAAUACUACUCUUUAGAAGAUUCAAAUACUAAUUAAGUUUCGAACAUCACACAGUACCAUAUGGAAAUACUACUCUUUAGAAGAAUCAAAUUCUAAUUAAGUACUCGGCUCAUGAUCUCAGCCCGCAAGCACAGCAGUAAGAUCCAUGGUCAUAAUCCUCUCUUCGUACCUCCUUUUCUGCAACUGGACCUCCUGCCUCCUAACCUCAAGAAGUAGUUUUUCAUUUGCAACUCGAUCUUGUUCAAGAGCAAAAGCUUUGUUGAACCUCUCCUCUUUUUUUAGCUCUUUCUCCUCAGUUUCUUUCUUCUAUGCCCACAUAUUUUCUAAGGUUGUUGUCACACUUUUUUUCUUCUCUUGCAGCAGUGCUGCUUUUGCCUUCUUCUUACCAGUCGGCCUUGUCAAUGCAUUAUCCUCUAGACCUUGAACCCCACCUUGUCCUAUUUCACUUGGUGAACUUGCAUUCGGGUCAACAGUUGAGCUUGUCUUCUGCUUCUUGUUAGAUGUUUUACCAACAGCCAAUUCAUCAAUUUUAGAAAGCUAUUUUGGUUGUGUUCUCAGCUUAUUCCAGCAAUGCAUGAACUGGAAUGCUUUCUGAUGUUCGUCUUCAAACUUGUACAAAGUACAUGCCUCUGCAACCUACAUGCACCACCAUAAAAGAAAUAUUCAUAUAUGAUAUAUAAAAAUAAAAUAGUCGAAACAAAUCGUGGUAUUGCAUAGUGAGUAAGUACCUUGUCUUUCAUUGUACUACCACUCUGACGCCUUAACUCAAUUCGUGCUAGACAUCCACAAAACUUGUUCACACAUUUUUGUAUGGUCUCCCACCGGUGCAUGAGAGAAUUUAUGGUACGCUUUGAGGUGCACGUCUUGUGUUCAUGGAAGUAAUCACAGAUACGAGACCAAUACUUGGCACCUUUUUGAUCUUUGCCUACGACCGGAUCCAAGCUUACAUUCAACCAUGCUGAAACCAAAACCUCAUCUUCGUGGUCACUGAAGUUCUUUGAUCUCUUAUGGUUCGGCCUCGUGGAGGGGGCUGCUGGACCAACUUCAAUUGCUUGGGAUUGUUGGUCAGCACAUGUGUUGCUAUAAUAAUGAGAAUCCCCUAAAUUGGUUUCAUCCAUCAUCAUGUUUGAAAAAUAUCUGUUUCCUGCCCAGUAGGUAGAAAAUAAACAUCAAGUGGUAUAUGGAGGCUGCACAUAUGAAAACUUGCUCAAGUGGCAUAUUUUAUCAUGCCAACAAGAUGGUGACUACAUGCUAGGAGCCAACUAGUCAGCUAGCUAAGUCCCUGAAGUGAAGGGAAUAUGAGCUAACUAGUCAGGAUCACAGCUGAUUUUAGUAUUUAUAAGUCAUCUUAGGACAAGCAAUGAAACUGUUCCUUGUUCCUACUUCCACUUAACCACAUACCCUUUAGUUUUGCUUCACAGCAUACAACCAAGUUUCUUUUCAAAGUAAUACAGUUCAUUCACAUGCCUGCAGCUCAAUUAUGAAGUCGACAAUACAAAGCUUGUACAGAACAAAAUGGCCUAAGUAAUAAAUUAAAGUUGCUCUAGUGGAAUAUUUUAACUAAGAUAAAUAUGGAGGCAGAACAAACAUAUGUCGUGGGGCAACACUAGUGCAGCCAUGCUAAUCCUUUCUUUAAUAUAGAUUAUAUCGUGUGCCAAUAAGAACUACAAUUUUAAACUAGAUAAUAGCAUAAGCAAAUAGUUAAAUGUCACUGACCAGAUAUGAGAUUAACACAUUGACCAGAUAUGAGAUUAAUGCAUUGCAUAAUGCAUUACAGUGACCAAAUAGCAUAAGCAAGUAGAAUUAAUUAAAUGCCGAACUAUCAACUUGAUGCAUCUCUAUAGGUACUAAAUCUUAUUGAUGCUUUGACUGCUAUUGCUAGGUUAGUUGCCACAUUAUCUUCAAUCAAUGCAAAAUUCUUCUAUAGGCAAAACAAAGCCACUUAGAAUUAACUACACAGCACAAGAAAUCCAUCUUAUCUCACGGGGAAUUGAGUUAAAGAGCUUAUGAUUCAUACCAUUCACAAAUGGGUUGCCGUUGGCCGCUUGUUUGAAAGCACCAGAGGGGCCGCCGCUGGAUGGGUACGUCACCGUCGAUAGGGAGUCCAAACCAUCACUGGUAAGAGCUACAAUCGAAGGACCUUGCAGAUCACCACACAUAUCACCACUACCAGGCAGGUCGAGGUCGUUGCUGCUGGACCUCUCCAAAUUUGUACUGUUGCUGUUCCAUUGAGGGAUGUGGUCACCGCCAACGAGCACCACACGCCGUUGAAGCAUCCCUCCACCGCGCCUUACUUGGCCCUGCCGUGGUGCCUGCAUCUGCACAGGCAACAAAAGGAAUUUAAAUCUGCAUUGCCAUAUAUUUAUUGAGCAGUAAUUUGGUGUUUCCCUUCUCCAAAACCAUACUGCUAAUUUAUUGGAUGUACGCCAUACCUCAGGCCAUCGUCACGACAGUAUGCAAACAUCCAAUAAAUUAGCAAUAUCCAACUACUCCAGGAGCUGAUUACAGAGAACGAGAUAUUUGCAUUUAUAUACCUAGGCACUUGCUUGAUUGCUCCCAAACUGGUGGUGCACUACUACUAUGAUCUGAACAACUUUAGCUACCGAAUCAGGGGAGGAAGCAUUUCACAACCACCAUUACAAUAUCAGCUCCGCAAAGAGAGUAGUCAACAAGCUGAUUAGUUUCUGAAUCACAUUGCAAAGACACAUAGCAGCACCAUAUAAGCAAACAAUGGCCAGAUUAUGUGCAAAUGCAGUAACUACAAACUGCGGCCCUUUUCACAAUGCUAAGGUAAUGGAUACAGCCAAGGAUUUUAGCAAGAGAGCAAAUUAACAAUGAGUAGAGGUCAUACCAAUCCAGUCCUCGGGUUCUUGGCGAGAUGUUGAAGAUCUUCUGGCCGCCGCGGGCUUCCUGCUCAGCCCGACUCGACAGGGUGCCGCCGCCCCUCACCCCUCGCCGCCGCCGGGAGAGGAGGGCUCCCGCCGGAGUGGGGAGGGUCGCCUCUGGGAGACGAGGGGUGUGCCGCCGGGAGAGAAGGGGCGCGCCGAAGUGGGGAGGGUCGCCGCCGCCGCCUGCUCAGCCAAACCGACAGGGCGCCGCCACCGAGAGAGGAGGGCCACCGCCGGAGUGGGGAUGGCCGCCGCCGGGAAAGGAUGGACGCGCCGCCGGGAGAGGAGGGGUGCGCCGGAGUGGGGAGGGCCGCCUCCGCCGCCUCCUCAGCUGGUUCGACAGGGCGCCGCCGCCCCUCGCCCCUCGCCGCCACCGGGAGUGGAGGGGCGCGCUGCCGCCCCUCGCCCCUCGCUGCCGCCGGGAGUGGAGGGGCGCGCCGUCGGGAGAGGAGGGGCGCACCGGGAGAGGAGCCUGGCCGCCACCGCCUGGAAGGCUCGAGAAGAUAACGGGAGAAGAGCGCGGCAAAAAAAUAAAAAAGCGCAACAGGGGGUGCGGGAAUGGAUUGGGGGAAGGUUUCGGGUCGCGAAAAUAUACGGGAGGAGGGCAUGUUUUUUGACGUCGCUAAUUUUUUGGGAAGGUUUUGGAGGGCAUGUUUUUUGACGUCGCUAAUUUUUUGGGAAGGUUUUGGGUGGACUGUUGGAGUUCAUUUUUUCUCUUUUUUUCCCUAAAAAAAGUUUUGGGGGUAAGAUUAGCAGCCUCUUGGAGUUGCUCUUAAUCUGAUCCGCGUUUGCUGAGUUUUAUAUUCCUUUUCGAACCCUCAUCUUCUUCUAUCUGUGGAAAAGGUGUAGACGCCGUCCAGCAGAGAGACAAAUCACAACUGUUUUUGCGUGGCCCAUCAGAGUCAAUAUAGGUGAUGUGCUAUUUCGCAAAAAAAAAAGAAA